rnacentral:lncRNA from 1 species
GGUGGCAUUGUCGAGUCAUGGCUUCGUAGAGCUGGUUGGCUUUAGUUUUCUAGGUGUGGCGCAGAGUCGCGAGUUGCUGGGUAUCUUAGAUUUCCAUGGUGGGCGUGUGCUGGCUGAUGGAUGUGGCAGGCUGUGUAUUUUUAUGGAUGAGUUCUCGCCGUUGUCUUUAUGGAGUCCUUGUAUGUUUAUAUUUCCAAUUAAAGGCUAUAUGUGACAACAUGAUGAUGGAUGCGGUCAGCCAUGUAUUUUAAUGGUGACCGUGUCCGUAUGCAUUCCUUUGCAUGUGUAUGUGUUUACGUGCUCUUGGCUUACCGAGUUAGGCACGUGUCCUUCCAAGUUCUGAUUAGGCAUUGUAUGUGACAAUUGUUGACACGUAACUUCUACUUUUCUCAAUCCUUGUGUUGUGUUUUUUUCCGAAAGCAUUGUUUCUGAACCGGUACGCAUAAAGACGUGACAGUUCAAUUUGCUGACAGGUACAUAUUUACAUGUUACGUAAUUUUUUUAAAUCUGAGCCAUUGUUAUUCUGAUCAAACAGUGGUAAUAAUAUAAGUCUAUGUGGAGUAACGUGGUGUCUUAUUUGUCUUCUAUUUUAAUUAUAUAAUAGAUAGAUAGAUAGAUGGAAAACUCAAAACGGUGCCCGGGCUCAUCUGCUCCCUCUCAGUAAAAAAUUCAAAAAAAAUACUAGACCAAUUCAAAAAAUUCCAAAUUUUUUUGUGGUGGUAGAUAAUUUGACGCGUGAGGUGCGCCCCAAAAUUCAAUUCAUUUGGACAUCUGAGCAUCUCUCGGCAAAAAAGACAAAUAGGGUCAAAACAGUGCGUGAACAGUAUACAUUUUUACAGACCCUGAUUUUGUCUUUUUUGCCGAGAGCUGCUCAGAUGCUCAAAUGAGUUAAAUUUUGGGGCCCACCUCACGCGUCAAAUUAUCUACCACCAUAAAAAAAUGGAAUUUUUUGAAUUUUUCUAGUAUUUUUUUUUGAAUUUUUUUAAGCGUGGGUGCAGAUGAGCCCGGGUGCAGAUUAGCCGCACUCAUAGAUAGAUUUAUCUCACUGAUAAAUUACAGUACGUACUAUACUAGUACUUCCUCCGUUCCUAAAUAUAAGUCUUUGUAGAGAUUUCACCAUGAACCACAUGUGAAUGUAUAUAGAUGCAUUUUAAGUGUAGAUUCAUUCAUUUUGUUCCGUAUGUAGUUCACCUAGUGGAAUCUCUACAAAGACUUACCUACUAGUAAUAGUUAGCCCCCACUACUAGGAAUUCAGUAUCCUCUCCUUGAGCCACAUCAUCAAAAUUAAUGUAGCUGUUAGAUGAACUAAAUCAGUCCAUAAUAGCCGUCUGAUCUAGACGUUGAGAGGCUCCGCACUAAGCCACAUGCAAGCAUGCAGAAAUACCGUGGCAUGCAUGUGAGUGGGUUUUAAAUCACUCUUUACAUGUCUGCACGCAAGCAUGCACCGGUAGCAUGCAUGUAAGUGAACUUUUAAGUCCCAUUAACAUGUCAAAAAGAAAAAUAUAAUCCCAUUAUGCAGUAGGAGUUGGCUGAUCUUUUUUCCUUACGUGGGAUGAUCUACAUGAUGAUGGGAGUUUUUUUUAGUUUGGCUACCACAUUUUUCAUGUGGUUAUAGAGUUUUUUUAGUUCUAUGAAAUCGAUAAUUUUACGCAGAGAGAUAUACGGCUGUUCCGCGGCAACGCACGGGGACUCAUCUAGUAGUAUUUAGGAAUGGAGGGAGUACUAUGUAAAGAGUUAGGUGUCGCACGGUGCCCAGAAAAUAUGGUGAUAGUGUGAGGUGGGCCAUGUAAUCACCGAGCCUAUGUGUUUUCACUGCUAUUGCAUUCCUCCGCUGUAAGAAUGGAGAAAAUUGCAAUCUAGUAGUACCUCCUUUUGCCGAAAGCAUGGGACAUCCAGCAGUCCUACCACCUCAGUAAUAAAGAUCAAUGAGCCGUCAAAUCACAUAGACCCAGCAGUAAGUUGGACGGAUGAAGCAACCAUCACUCUUGCGCCAGUGAGAGGUCGUGUCCGCUCUUCCCUGGCAUGAAUGCGGCACCAAUUCUUUGGAGCAGCGCUGACCGUUUCGGGCGGGAAGCGCGUGCGGGCGAUGGAGGGGCUUUGGGUAGGCUAGGCUAGUCAGGAGCGGGCGUGGCAGCUGUCCUCCUGUCCCUACCGGACACGCCCGGAAACGAGAGGAUGCACCGACUCUCGCGACUAAAAUCGUACACUACACACCAUCUCUCUAUAAGAGUAGGUCAAUCUGUCGCUCUCUCUAACACACACAUGAUGUUACACACACACACACACACACACACACACGCACGCGCGCGCACACACACCUUGGUCCCGCUGCACCUUCUAACGUGACUUAUUACACCUAGACGGAGGGAGUAGUAAGUACGAGAUACGGUGGCACACUGACUUAGGUCGAAUACAAGUGCCCAAAAUCGUGUGCAUGUUAUAAUAAGGAUCCACUUAAAAUAGUACGUGAGCGAACAGAGGGAUCAAUUGGACAGUGUUCCUGAGCAGUAGCGAGAUGCGUGAGGUAAGAUACACCGCUGGCGCUUUUAUUUUUUCUUAUUAAUUUGUUUGUUUCAACCUCUGACUGGUGGGACCCAACGUACUACGUGGAGAGAGGUAAGGUGACUAAGGUUGCAUUAUUUCUGCACCACUGUGGAUAGUCUUACCACCAAAGCCACAUGACACGAUUAUAAUUUAAAUCCCAAUGACUCCCACACACAAAAGAAACAUGGCAUGCUUGCCACACGACUGCAAGAAUGUAUAAAAGGUUAUUUUCCUCUCGUUGAACAUAACGGGAGGGUUGUGUUGCUGGUUAGCCUGUUCGCUCAUCAAACUUGAGGUCUCGGGUUCCACUAAAAAAACUUGAGGUCUCGGGUUCGAUAACUAUACUUGAGCAUAAUUUGUGCCAGGAGGAUUCUUUGACUGGUCAAAAUGGAUGGAUACAGAGCUGUACAAUCUCGUAAUGACCGUAUAAUCACCUCAUCACGUACUCUAUAAGCUGCAGCCUCGGCGCUUGUUUUUUAGGGUUUGCAUGCUUCACACUCUCUCUCCAGUAUAUAUAUAUAUAUAUAUACACACACGCUGGAGCCUCAGCGCUUGUAGUUGCUCUCUUCACACUCUCUCACCCUCUCCAGAUCUAAAUAAGACUUCGUUGGCCUCUCUCUCCCCUCACUGCUGCUCAAAGAGCCGGCAGGAUCCGUUCGCCAGGAAGGGAAGGAGGCUUAACGCUGUCGCCGUCGGCGAGGGAGGGAAUCCACUACCAGCGCAGCUAUUCACAUUCACCCAGCGGCGGUGCAGGAGGGCCUCCGACCCCUUCUUCUUCGCCGCCGUCCCGUCGCCCACCGAACCAUGCCCCAAGAACCUUAAGGUAUAGUUUACUUAUUCCACAUGCAUUGCUCUAGCUGCAUGUAUACCAUGAAUCUAGGACGUGGUUCAAAGAGGAAAGGAGUGGGGGAAAGUAGUGGAGAAAGUUGUAUCGCAUAAAUCUAGGACGUGGUUCAAAGAGGAAAGGAAGGGGCAAAAGUACUAGUACAAACUGGCUAUCCAGCACCUAUGUUGGUCAAAAAGAGAAAACAAUGACAAACGCAGUACACACAUCUAUAACAAACUGAUGUUUUGUUUUGGGGGACAAGGCUGUAGAGUUUGAGGAGGACUAGAUUUGCUGCGCUCACAUAGGGAAAGGUGUCUAAAGAUAACAAAACUGGGACCAACACAAAUAUCCUCCUUGGUUGUUUGUUCUUUGUUGCAACAGACUGUGCAUGACCACAGUACAUCGGUAGAUGCGCAUGGUGCUGGUGCAUCCACUGACCCAUGCAACUCUUUAGCUUUUGUUAAUCUAAGUCCCUGUUUGGUUAAAAACUCCCUAGUCCCUACCUGCUUGGUUCCAGGGACUAAACAUGGACUAGAGGUUAUUAAAUGACAUGCUAAAAGACCAUGUUACCCCUAGUAAUGAACUAAUAGAGACAAGGUGCGAUGCAUGGCAGGGGCAACUAUUGGAAAAAGUCCCAAAAAGACUCCCUCGGGGUAGUCUUUCUUUAGUCACAAAAAUGCCCACUUUUAGUCCCUAAAAGUCCCUCCUGUUUGGUUUAGAUGGACUGACACGGAGUUUUUUCAGUCCCUACACCAAAAUUUCCCUGUAAACAAACACCCUCUAAUAAUGCCGCUGGAAAAUUGAUGCAAUGCCAUAUUUAAAAGCAAAUUACAUGUUUAACGAAUUUUAUUGUUAAUAUAAUCUCUAUGUUAAUAUUAAUCAAUGCCACCGUUUGAGAAAUGCUACUGUCUUGCUUUCUUUCCCAUCUAGAUAAGGUAGAUGCUUCUUUUUGUUGGCUUCUGUAUCAUCCACCGUUAUUAACCACUAGUUGUUUUCUUUGCACCUUUGUGUAAACAAGGUUAUCUACUUGACCUCGUUGCCAUUGUGACCUUUUUGUUGCACUGCACAAAACACAUUUGUUUUAAGAGUGUUUUGUGCAGUUCAACCAAAAUGUCACACCGACAAUGUUGCUUGAUUGCUUGAUCUUAGUGGAACUGCACAAGAGGAGAUCUUACUUCCUAUCCGUGUUGGCAAAUUUGGUUUAGAUCUUCUUCUUGUGAGUAGUUUGAAUUCCGCAUCAUGAGAGGUCAGUACUAGCCUUAUUCCACAUGAUUCUGCAGUGUGCUUUCAUAUGUUGUGAUACUUGUAUGGUAAUGUUACUUGAUUUUAGUGAACUGCACAAAUGGAGACAAGACUUCCAAUCUGUAUGUGCACCAUAAUAUCCCAUUGAGGUAAGAUAAGGAUAUUUCACAACUGUUGGCCUGUAUUUUGCCACUUCCAUCAGAAAAUUAAUGUCAUUUUUUAGUGCUAUACUUGUGCUCCCUAAUUGACAUGCCAAAUCUUACAUUGAAGGCGAAGCUUGUCUGUUAUUGAACCAAGUGAUGAAGGGGAAGAACAAGCGGAAAAACAAAAAUCAACUCCCGGUGCUGUAAUGAAGCACUGAAACUGUGAUGACACAGGUAAUGAUAUAGUUUUGCAUCUUAAUUUAUUGCUAUGUCUGGAACGAGCAAUUGUUUUGCCACUGAUUUAAUGACACUCUUAAUGUAAUACAUAAUUAUCUCUACUUGUGCAAAUAGGGAUCUUCUUUCAAUAUGACAUAUAUUUUAGUGGAACUGCACAAGAAGAUGUUGGAAACAUUAAACUAAUUGAGGAGUAUAUAGUAAGCAUGGCAACCACAGUAGAUAGCAACAGAUGGUUCCGGAGAAGUGCUUCAUCUGUAUGCUCUACACAAUAAUCCUCCUGACAAAGGUUGGUACUCGUCCACUGAUUUCAUCCAGAUGAUUGAGCUUUGUCAUCUCUAUUGGUGUUGUGCUACUGUUUAGAUACUGUCAUGAAAAAGUGGUAUUGUCCUUGAGAAGUGCUUCAUCUGUGCUGUUUUAAAUAUUUCCUUUCCUUUUUUUCGAGCAAAUAGGGAUGCUAGCAUUUAGUAGUCCUCUUGUCUCUGCACAACAGGACCAUCUUCCUCUAAAGAAGAAUAUGGAGUACGUGAAGUGACUAGUUCCGAUUAUGCCAGGAUGAAGAAGCCCUGUCUAUCUUCUCACCAGAAGGAGCAGUUGAAGGAUGGUUACAUUACUCCCACAAGACUAAAGUAACUUCAGCUCAGAAGGACUGACAAAUCUCCAUUUUUUGCUGUGAUGCGCGGGUACAAUGUUGUUCUAGGAUUCUUUCUGGUGAGUUCCAUCUUUCUAAAAGUGUGCUCUACAUGGCCAUGUAGGUGCGUGUUUAAACUGUCAAUUCAUAGUAUAGUUUGCUUUAUACUAAUCACUUUUUUGUAUUUGUGCAAACAGGGGUGCUCAACUUGAUUUCAAUGGGAACUGCACAAAAUGUUCAUGAAUACAUCGAAUCAUUCAUUUCCACCACAAGAAAGGAGGUGCCGAUAAGUUCAAGGCGUUGCAACAUAUAAGGGCGAAAUCAUACAAGCUACGCGCGAAUUUGGUUGAUUUUGGUGGAACUGCACAAAAAGAAUAGCUGGUUUAUUUAGCAUGAGGUGCCAUGUCAAUGUACGAACUGAUGGCAAACCCUAGCCAUUCCACAAUCGUAGGCAUUUGAUAUUUUGGAAUGGGACAACCUUGUCAAAUUUUGCUCAUUGAUUUUAGCAAGACAUGCGUUUGAUAUUUUCGAACGGGACGCCCUUUGCUGUCAUCAGCGUUGAUCAAUUUUUUCUUUAUUCUUUAGUUGUGAAGUAAAUAUUGCCUCUGACAUGUGAGUCGCUGAGAUGCAUAAUCAUCGAUUGUUUUGAAUGUUCUCUAUGAAUUGCCAGCCCUCUGUGUUUGAUUGCAAUGUACAGAAACGCUAAAAAACUACUCAAACUCUUUGUACUCCUUCUAUUCCUUUUUACUUCGCACAUUGUGAAAGUGAAGACUUUUUUGUAUAAGAUUGGUCAAAGUAGAGACACUUUGACUGCAGACAAAACUUGUAUGUAGACUAGAAAGGACCGGAGGGACUACAUGUGAAACUGCUGCAAACGAGGUGAUCACCCUGGGAAUAAUGCUAGUACGUAUUGUUUUGUAUGUUCAUCCAAUGCCAAUGAUACAGGAAUUCGAACUAAUCGAAAUAAAUUCAUUCAUACACGGUCGGAUUUCAUAUAAACAUGCUGGAUUUCAUUACAUUUCAUACAUUCUUCAACUAAAAAGGGGUGCGUUGGAGGUAUAAUUAAUUAACCGAAGCUACUCACCUGUGUCCCGCUGAGCCGAACAGAAGCUUCAGUGACUUAACUGCAGGAGCAGUUGCGUAACUGAGAUGUGGCCUGUUGGGCCCACAUGUCAGUCAGCCAACUGCACUAGUAGUUAAGUAGAAGCAGCAUUCUUCUACAGCACAGCUCUCCGACUCCACGUCGCCGCCAAGAAGCUAACCGGUCGUCAAUGGUCAACCCGCCUAGCUUGGCUUCAACCGGAGGGUAGCAGUGGUGGCCUUACUUGGACCCGAGCGGUGGCGACCUACCGUGUUCUACUCUUCCUCGUUUUCUAUGUGGCGCGGCCUCAUUGGUAGCGGGGCGGGGCCUCGGCGGAGCCAGCGAUGUCCUCUGUCUCAUUGCCGGCGGACGGCGCCUCGGCGAAGCGGUGGAAAUCCUCCCCCUCAUUGCCGGCAGGGUGGGGCCUCGACUGAGCCGACGAUGUCCUCUGCCUCGUUGUUGGCGGGGUGGGGCCUCGGCGGAGCCGGCGGUGUCCUCUUCCUUGUUGUCCACUCAUAAGAGCUGGCAUUGUCCUCUGCCUCAUCCUCGUUCUCGCCAAAGAGCGCCUCGCCCGCUUCAUCGCCCUCUUUGUAGGCGGCCGCAGCCUCCGCUACCCGCAUGCGGUACCGCCAGCGCUCCCUCGCGGGCAGAGCGGUACGAGUCGAGCAGCGCCUCCUACUCCGCCCGCUCCACGGCGAUCUGCUCCUCCGCCUGCAGGUGCUCCUACAGGAGAUGGUGGUUCUAGGCGGCGUCGGCCCGCGCCUCCCAAAACUGCUCCUCACGCAUCUGCCUCAUCGUGUCCAUAUAUUGGGCACGGGCCUCGCUGAUGGACAUGGUGUAAUGCACCGGCGAUGAUGGCGCGGAGGAGGGGGUUGGCGCCGGAUCGUCGACUACCAUGUUCACCAUUUUGACGUCGUCGUCCUCCGGCUGCCUGCCGGCCAGCCGGUCAGCAACAAUGGUCGCCAUCUCCUUGUGGUUCGUCGUCCGCCCGUCCCAAAGAGCGCUGGAGCGCGAGGAAGCCAUGGUGGGCAGCAGUGGUGUGGACAGGAGAAAGGGAACAAAUGCGGAUGACUGCGGCUAUGGCCGGCGCAGUAGUUUAUAUAUCAAUGGUGGGCGGCGGAGGAACGGACGUGUGGUGCCAGGGUAGCCACCUCGGCAACCGCGUAUCAUUAAUGUGGGUGACAGAUAGACGGACGGAUGGCACUUGUGUCGUUUGAAGGCGGAGCAAUCACCUGCACCGGGAAGCGGGGCGGGCGGUGCUGACUGUUUCGGGCGGAAAGCGCGCGUGGGUGAGGAGAUGACUUUACUUGGAGAGAAUGACAAUGGGGACCCACCAGGGCCAUAGCCUCACAUAUGCAGGUGCCUCCUUAUUAUAUAUAUAUAUAACUAUAAUUUAUUUUGCUUCCUCCUGGUUUCCUAACAUCACGGUCCCACACCAUUGUCAACCUAUGUACUCCCUCCUUUCCGGUUUAUAGGGCUUAUCUCAAAAUUUUAGUUUUUCCAUUUUAUAAGGCUCAAUUUGGUUGUUUUCCAUCACAUGUUCAGAUUCCAAGGUGCAUUAAAUCAUUGCAUGCAAGUAUUAAGAGAAAAUUGACCAAUGCAUGUACUUUAUGCAUGCAUGCAUUGCAAUUAAUGCAUUUAUAAACAUAAUUUUUUGAGGAUAACAAGAGCAUUAAUUAGGUGCUUUUGCAAAACUACAAAAAGUAUUCCACCACUCGCCAUCUACCUUGAUUGGUGAGAUUUUUGAACUGAGCACUAUAAACCGGAAAGGAGGGAGUAGUCAAUAAACGAGAGAAUUGCACAAGAAGCGGCUGACAGCUGGGACCAAGCAGCUCGAGCGGUAUUUGUGUUUUUGAGGUGUGAGCACUGUAGAGUUUUUUGAUGUUUAGCCCAGAUAUUAAUUUUUCUCCUCUGAACAACAACGAAAACAUCACUGCAGGUAUUAACUGGGUGGGCUGUGGCCCGUCUAGCCCAGGCCAGAUAUCCAACCCAGAUAUUAUUAUUUUUCAAGAUGAAAAUGGCUAGCCCAGCUAUACUUUUUUUUAGGAAUACCCAGGCAAGGUCAAGUUGUUAUUCUCUGCCCCACUGGCUGCAAAUCUUUCCUAGGAGGGAUGCAUUAGGCUUAACAAGAAAAUGGGCUUUAAGAAAUAAUAAAUGGGAUGUAAUUAUAAAAACUGAGCAGUAACUAUAAAAAAUGCACCAAACACGUAAUUACUUUAUAAAAUAUUAUUUUCGGAUACUGAAAAUUUUAAUUUCAUUAAUUGUUGCGAGCGCAAUGUUUUGUUAGAUUUUUAUGUAAUAUAAAUUUAUAUUGAAAUUGUAUUUAAUCUGACUAGAAAUUUUGGGAUAAAAAUAUUUCAGUUCCCAUCAAAAUGUGGGAAAUUUUAUUCAAUUAUGUUUUGAACGGUUGGUUGAAAUGGGCUGUACUUUUAACAAACUGUAAAUGGGUUGUAGUAAAUUCCAUUAGAAUUCAAAAAUGGGCUGCACAUUCUUAGAAAUCUCAAAUGGGCUAUAAGUUCUCUGCCACACACUUCUGGCCUUACUAAGUUGACGCGUCCCCUAAAAAAAGAGUUGACGCGUAUGCAAGGCUUUGUCAACUUAUAGUCAACACACGGUUCUAGCAGUAGUGGCCGUUGGAUGUCCAUCCAACGGAUGCCGUGCUUCUUCUUCAAUCUCGGAUAUUCUAGCUUCACCCGCCCAAAAAAGAUUCCUCCCCCUGACAUCUGGGGCGCACCGUUUUGGAAGCUAACCUGUGGGCCUACAAAGUUGACGUACCAAGGGCUUUGUCAACUUAGUCAAUAUAAACGAUUCUAGAUGCAGUGACCGUAUGAUGUCCAUGCAACGGCCAUCGUGCUUCUUCAACCUCUGGUCUUCUUGCUCCAGCCGCCCAAAGCAGCACCGGUCGUGCCGCCUGCUCCUGCCUCCCGUGGCCGGCUGUGCUCCCGCGGAGGCCUCACCGCCCCCUACUACUCCCACCACUAGCCAGGCCAUCCCUCCACUCACCCACACCACCUGUUAUUCUGCGGUGAUGGAAGCCUCACACCGCAGCUGAACCAGUGAACCCUCGUACUCCUCUCCGCAUGGGAAUCCACUGCCGCAUCUUCCCCGGCUCCGCGUCGUCCCCUUCCAAGGCCUCGCCGUCGUCCACUGUCGUGGUGCUCUCGGUGCGGCGUGGUCAACAUGGUCAAGGAAUGAAUUCCAUCGGAUGUGGUGUCACAUCCCUAGUUCUGACAAUGCCUAGUGCAUGCAUUAGAGUGUUGCUUCAUGUUUAAAUUUCAUUUAAACCUGAAAUGGGGAUUGACUAAACCCUAGCACCAAAUGAAUUCAACUAGGGUCAAAAUAAAAUCUUUUUUUCAUUAAACCCAAAAUGCCCUGUAAAAAUGUUCAACAUUUCUGGUUUGAGGUGAAAGCAUCUACCAAAAAUGAUUUAUAUUUUUGCAGGACAUAUUUGGUCACUGAAUUAAAUCAUAUAGUAUUUUCAUUUGGGCAUUUAAAUGCUAUUAAAUAAUUCAAAUGCUCAAAUAAUCAUAAACUAAAAUGUUUACUGUUGGAUAUAUUCUAAACAGUAGCCAUGAUUAGUUUCAUGAUUUUUGAAAGUGUCUGAGUAUUUUUAAUAAAGCCCUAAAUUUACAGAAUAAUAGAAAACAGAACUGAAAUAGAAAUAAAGGAAAGAGAGAGAGGAUACCUGGCCUUACCCGUGCAGCCCACCAGAGCCGGCCCAGCUCCCCCACCUGGCCGGCCCAGCCCACCUCCUCCCCCCCCCCUUGUCCUCUUCUUCCUCUGCCAGUAGGCAGAGGCAAGGCGUGGCGCGCGCCCGAAGAGCUCCGGCCACCUCCUGCUUCGCCGUGGCAGCCUCCCCNNNNNNNNNNNNNNNNNNNNNNNNNNNNNNNNNNNNNNNNNNNNNNNNNNNNNNNNNNNNNNNNNNNNNNNNNNNNNNNNNNNNNNNNNNNNNNNNNNNNNNNNNNNNNNNNNNNNNNNNNNNNNNNNNNNNNNNNNNNNNNNNNNNNNNNNNNNNNNNNNNNNNNNNNNNNNNNNNNNNNNNNNNNNNNNNNNNNNNGCCUACCUGGCCUCACCCGUGCAGCCCACCAGCCGGCCCAGCUCCCCCACCUGGCCGGCCCAGCCCACCUCCUCCCCCUUGUCAUCUUCUUCCUCUGCCAGUAGGCAGAGGCGAGGCGUGGCGCGCGCCCGAAGAGCUCCGGCCACCUCCUGCUUCGCCGUGGCAGCCUCCCCGACUCCCUCGCGACGCCACGGAGACGCCUCGACCCCCUCGACCGCCUCUCUCUCUCUGGACCCCCUCCUCCUCCUCUGCUCUCCCUCCCUCUCGUCACCGAACGCACCUGAGAGCGCCGCUCGCCGUAGCCAUGACCACGGCCACCCCCUCUCNNNNNNNNNNNNNNNNNNNNNNNNNNNNNNNNNNNNNNNNNNNNNNNNNNNNNNNNNNNNNNNNNNNNNNNNNNNNNNNNNNNNNNNNNNNNNNNNNNNNNNNNNNNNNNNNNNNNNNNNNNNNNNNNNNNNNNNNNNNNNNNNNNNNNNNNNNNNNNNNNNNNNNNNNNNNNNNNNNNNNNNNNNNNNNNNNNNNNNNNNNNNNNNNNNNNNNNNNNNNNNNNNNNNNNNNNNNNNNNNNNNNNNNNNNNNNNNNNNNNNNNNNNNNNNNNNNNNNNNNNNNNNNNNNNNNNNNNNNNNNNNNNNNNNNNNNNNNNNNNNNNNNNNNNNNNNAAGAUCGGCCUCGCCGUCCCGCUCGCUUCGACGCCUCCCCGGCCCCGUCGUCUGCACCGGCCAACUCCCCGUGAGCCCCUCUUUCUCGUCCCCCUAGUCAUGUUGCUCAAGCUGCCCCCAAACCCCGUUGGCCAUCACAGCCGAGAGCUCGGCUCCGCCAGCCAUGGCGCCGCCGUGGCCAGGGCCACCGCAGCCCGCGCCUGAGCACGUCACCGUGCUCGGUGAACCCCCGGGAGCACGUAGCACUCUUCGAUUUCUCUGUUAGUGCGCCGUAGCAUCGCCCCCGAUCGCGCCCGAAUUCCGGCCGCCGCGGAAGCGGACGCCGCCGUCGAUCUGGGUCGUCUCCAGCGACCCCACUAGCUCCAGACGACGCGGACGAGGCUCGGGGUUCCAACGGUGCCAUCCGCGCCUCGAACCGUGGCCUGUGCUGCGAUUCCGCGCAUCGCCGCCGUCUCGGACCUCGCCGGCGGUUAGUCGCCGGCAGGUUCGACUGAGUUGACCAGGGGUUUGACCCCCCCUGGGUCGAUGACAGGUGGGGCCAGCCCCCCUGUUAAUUAGUUUAGUUUAUUUUAACUAAUUACCCCCCCUGCUGACACUGACAUGCGGGCCCAGGCUCUAAUUAAAAUUAGGUUAGUUAGUUAGUCACUGACGUGUGGACCCCACACGUCAGGUUUGACCUGAAUCUGCCCCAUUGACCUGAUGACGUCAAGGUGAUGUCAUGCUGAUGCAUUAAAUAAUUUUCUGGAUUUAAAAUAAAUCAGAAAAUCCAGAAAAUUGUAUAAACUUCUAAAAUUCAUAGAAAAUUAACCGUAACUCCAAAUUAAAUAAAUUAUAUAUGAAAAAUUAUCAGAAAUAUUCAAGGAAUCCAUCUGUACCAUUUUCAUGCAUGUUAGAACAACUUAUAGGUGCUGUUUAGCACAAAUCAAUUAAAUGGCAUUUGAAUAAUCACAUAUGGAGUUUGAAUUUGAAUCUUGUAUUCAAACCAACUUCAUUUAAUCUGUUGCUAGUUGCAUUAGCCCAAAACACAUUCAUUUUGCCAUGUCAUGAUCAUGCAUCAUAUUGUGCAUUGCAUUGAUUGUGUUCCCUUCUGUGUUGCCGGUAUUUGUCCCCUCUCGAUAGACGUGAUACCGAUGAUGCGAUCGUUGACACUGAUGAAGACUCAAUGCUAUCUUCAGAAGUGCCAGGCAAGCAAAACCCCCUUGUUCAUUCCGAUAAAAUCCCACUCUUUCGCUCCUGCCCUCUUUUACUGCAUUAGGACAACAUCGAUUCAUCUGUUACUUGCUGCGGUAGCUGAACCCCUUUAUCCUCUGCAUGACCUGUCAUUCCACAGUAAUUAGAUGAAACCCACUAGCAUGAGUAGGAGUUGUUUGAGCCCUGUUGUGCCUACUCAUUCAUGUUUGUUUGUCAUGCCUGCUACUGCUUAGAGUUGAGUCAGGUCUGAUUCAUCGGGGAUGAAUCAGAGGCGUGUGAACAUGUCCUACUGUGUGUGAGCUAAGUGUGUGAAGACGAUUUGGUAAAAGGUAGCGGUGAGAGGCCAUGUAGGAGUACAUGGUGGGUUGUCUCAUUGCAGCCGUCCUCAGGAACUGAGUUCUGUGCUUGUGAUCCAUCAUUCAGCUACUACCAUACAUUGGGCCCUGAAAUAUGACCCCGCUCGACUUCUUAUUCACCCUUGUCCUCUGUCCAGGAGUUGCAAGUAGUUUCUGGUGUUUGUAGCUUACUGGAGGGCGUGGACAGCGCUGACCGUAGGGGUGGGCUGUGAUGCGGUAGGUACGUGGCACGGUGUACCGGAUGCCCGUUUGGUAUCUCGGGAACCCUGUUCACAUCGUUUGGGGCUGUGAGCGAAACUCCGGCCGGAUCUCCUCAUGGAUGGAACCCGAAUAGGCGAUAAACCAGGACUAGAGACUUGAGUGUUUAGGUAGGUCGUGGUCUACACCCACGUCGGCUUUCGCUUGAAGUCUGCCAAGCACAUGUCGUGUGCAGACGCUAAGUGGUGGAAACAUGUAUGAAGAAGUACACCCCUGCAGGGUUAACAUCAUCUAUUCGAAUAGCCGUGUCCGCGGAAAAGGACUUCUGGGUUGCUUAUAUCAGUUCAUAGACAAGUGAAAGUGGAUACUCUAAAAUACGCAAGAUAAGCGUGAGCGCUAUGGAUGGCGUUCUCGUAGGGGAACGAGAGCGGAUCCAUAGUGGUGUAUUGAUAUGGUGAACAUGUGGACUCGUGUGCGCCACCUCAAAAGAGUUACUUGCAGUCGUAGUUCAGGAUAGCCACCGAGUCAAAGCUGGCUUGCUGCAGUCAAACUCCACCGUCCCCUUUGUUGAUAAUGAUGCAUGUGUAGAUAGAUCUGAUGUAAGUCUUGCUGGGUACAUUUGUACUCACGUUUGCCUAUUUUAUGUUUUUGCAGAGAGACUUCAGUCUCACUAGUAGUUCCGCUUGGACUUCGAUGUUUAGCUUGAUACCUCAGCCACGAUAGCUUCCGCUUGUGCUUUGACUUGUAUGCUCUGAUUGUUGGGUCAUGAGACCCAUGUUUGUAAUGUCUCGCUCCUCGGAGCCUAUUGAAUAAAUUACUUGAGUCGUAGAGUCAUGUUGUGAUGCCAUGUUGUAUCUGCACAUAUCGAGCAUAUUGUGUGUAUGUCAGGACCCCGACUCGAUGUCACAUCGAUCUAGCUGGUAACACCUCAUAUCACUUUGCGGCCUCACGCACGGUAUUCCCACGGGUGUCGUCUUACCUUUUCCCGGUACCGUUUGCGCCUUUUGGCUCACGUAUAUGAUAGUGUCGCUAGCAUCCAUAUGAUAAGGAGCCCGGGCUGACAUGACUAGUCGUAAACCCAAAGCGGCACAGACUUACAGGGACAAGCAUCCAUGACCCAGCUUCGAACGUGUCGGUCAUCAGCAAGUGGGUCCGGGCUGUAGCACUGGGCUAGCAGGACUCCGGUAAACCGGGCUGUAGCGGGCUAACAGGACUCCGGUACUCAAAGCGUGACAUUUCCCCGAAGGGACAGACACAGGAACGAAGAAGGACACAUGCCGGCCAGCCUAAGUGUUCCAGAGCAGUAGCAAGCUACCAUGGCUCAGCGGUAACACUAGGAGACAUUUCCCGGUAAGAGAGGCUACUAAAGAUAAACAACUAGAUAGUCAGAUCCCACACAUACCAAGCAUUUCAAUCAUACACACAAUAUGCUCGAUAUGUGCAAAUACAACGAAGCAUCACAACAUGACUCUACGACACAAGUACUUUAUUUAAGGCUCAAGGAGCCAUACAUAUCAUACACAAAGGUACGGGUCUCACGACCCAACAUACAAGUCAUACAGUCAUACAAACCAGCAGCGGAAGUACAUUGUCUGGGUACAGACAACUAGUAAAAUAAAAGAGGCCUGGAAGCCUAGCUAUACUACGUGGUCCAUCACAAGCUCAGGGUCACCACCUGGGUCUUUAGCCUACUCGUUGAUGUCAACGUCUACAUAGAACCCAUCAGAAGGGGUUGCAGCGUCUUCUGUAAAAAUGUAGAUUAUAGCAACAUGAGUACAAAGGUACUCAGCAAGACUUACAUCAGAUCCUACAUACAUGCAUAGUAUCAAGAAGGGUUGGUGGAGUUAUUGCAGCAAGCCAGCUUUGACUCUUGGCUAGACUAUCCUACGAUACUCCAACUUGAAAUGUUUUGCGCACACGAGUCCACUACUCACCACUUCAAUACACUACCGAGGAUCCACCUCCGUCUUCCUACGGAAGAGCCAUCCUCGGCACUCACACUUAUCUUGAGGCUUUUAGUAGUUUCCAUUUACUUGUCUAUGAACUGUAUAGGCAACCAAGUAGUCCUUUACCGCGGACGCGGCUAUUCGAAUAGAUCAUGUUAUCCCUGCAGGGGUGUACUUCUUCAUACAUGUUUCCACCACUUAGCGUCUGCACACGACAUGUGCUCGGCAGACUUCAAGCGAAAGCCGACGUGGGUGUAGACCACGACCUACCUAAACACUUAAGCCUCUAGUCCAGGUUUAUCGCCUAUUCAGGUUCCAUCCGCAGGGAGUCCGGCCGAGGUUUCCCAUACGGCCCCGAACAAUGUGAACAGGGUUCCCGAGAUACCUAACGGGUAUUCGGUACACCCGGCCACGUACCUACCGCAUCACAGCCCACCCCUACGGUCAGCGCUGUCCACGGCCUCCAGUAGGCUACAAACACCAGAAACUACUUGCAACUCCUGGACAGAGAGCUAGGGUGAAUAAGAAGUCGAGCGGGGUCAUAUUUCAGGGCCCAAUGCAUGGUAGUAGCUGUGUCUUAAAUCACACAUACAGAUCUCAGUGCUUAAGGUCGGCUUCAAUGAAACAACCCACCAUGUACUCCUACAUGGCCUCUCAUCGAUACCUUUACCAAAUCAUGUUCACCACACCACUCUCAUUACCGACAUAAUCAUUUCACUCUAGCCCAUCACCCAGAUGAACCAGACCUGACACGACUCUAAGCAUAGCAGGCAUAGCAAGGUAGGAACAACACAUACAUAGGGCUCAAUCAACUCCUACACAUGCUAGUGGGUUUCAUCUAGUUACUGUGGCAAUGACAGGUCAUGCAGAGGAAAUGGGUUCAACUACCGUAGCACACAGCAGUUUGAAUCGCGUUGUCUUAAUGCAGUAAAAGAGAGCAGGAGCGAGAACAUGGGAUUGUAUCGAUAUGAUCAAAUGGUUGGUUGCUUGCCUGAUGGUUCGAUGCACUGAUAUGGUUCUUCGUUAGGGUAAUCACGGUAUUCCUCGGGGACAGAACCUGUCGCAAAGGACAUCGAUACACAAGCAUCACCAAACAAUGUGCAACAAUAUGAUGCAUGCAUGAAACAUGGCAAUAUGAGUGUGUUGGGCUAAUGCAACUAAGCCAGAAGGGUUUGAACAAAUUUGAAUCAAAGAUUCAAAUUCCAAAUUCAAAUAUGGCCUUUUAAAGUGCCUUUUCUUGUUUUGCUUAAAACAUCAAUUUAACUUGUUUGAUCAUGCAUGAAAAUGGUACAGAUGGAUAGAUUGGAUUUUUCUGAUCAUUUUUCAUAUAUAAUUUGUCCAAUUUGGAGUUACAGAAUAAAAGUUAUGAAUUUUUGAAGUUUAAUUAAUAUUCUGGAAUUUCCUGAUUUAAUUUAAAUCCAGAAAAUCAAUUACUGCGUCAGCCUGACGUCAGUGUGACGUCAGCAGGUCAACGGAACAGGUCUGGGUCAAACCUGACAGUGGGUCCCGCAUGUCAGGGUGAUUAAUUUAAUUAAAAGUUAGUUAAAACUAAUCCUGUUUAAUUAACAGGGCUGGGCCCCACCUGUCAUUGACUCAGGGGAGUCAACCAGGGCCCACCCGUGGUCAAAGUCAAAGUCGGCUGCCGGCGUGUAGCCGCCGGCGAGCCCGACGCGGCGGCGGAAGUGGUUUUUGCUAUUUCGGCCACCAAAUGGAACGCGGAGGCCACCGGAGUGGAGCUGAGGACAACCCGCAGCUCUUGGCGGAGUCCGUUGGGGUCGGGGUGGCCGGAGUCGACGCCGGCGAUGACUUUGGCGGCCACCGAGGUUCGGUCGGAGGUGAACUUGGUGCUAGAGGGUUCGGUGAGGCUCGUGGAGUGGCUAGCUAGGUGCUGCGGGACGCGGUGAGCAAGAUGGACACCAUCUUGUGGCCGGAGGAUGACCAGGAGCACGUCGGCAACGAGGUCCACGGCGGUGGGUGCGGUUGAGCUCCGGGAGGUUGCUACACGGCUCGGGAGCAAGAACGAAGGGGAGGGGAAGAUGGCUAAGCUCACAGUGAGUGCGACGGAGUCCCUGGUGCGGCCGGAGAUGGACCGGAGCGACGAUGGCGUUGAAGGGGAUCUCCGGCGACGGUGAGCUCGGGCGAGGUCGGUGCGGUGGUCUCGGGCGUUGCGAGCGCUCGGGGCUCGGCUGCUCGAUGAAGUGGACAGCGGCGGAGCUCCUGGACACGGUGAGACGGCGUGGGGUGGUCGGAGGGCGUGGCUACGGCGAGGGGGUGGCGGCGAUGGCGUCGGCCAUGGCUGGGGCGUGCGAGGGGNNNNNNNNNNGCUCGGGUGAGGUCGGUGCGGUGGUCUCGGGCGUUGCGAGCGCUCGGGGCUCGGCUGCUCGAUGAAGUGGACAGCGGCGGAGCUCCUGGACACGGUGAGACGGCGUGGGGUGGUCGGAGGGCGUGGCUACGGCGAGGGGGUGGCGGCGAUGGCGUCGGCCAUGGCUGGGGCGUGCAAGGGGAAGGAGCUGGAGAGGAGAGGGGGUGUCUGGGGGGUUCGGGGGAGAGAGAGAGGCCGAUCCACGGCGUUAGCCGGGCGAGGGAGGCGGCGAGGCGGCGAGCAGCUGCGUGGCGAGCUGCGGUGCCGCCGCCGAGCACCUUGGCUGCCUGCCUGGCGAGCCAAGCAGCUCGCUGGAGUGGUGGCCGGGCUGGGCCGGCCAGGUGGGCUGGCUGGUGGGCCUGCGGUGGCGUCAGGUAGGUUUUCCCCCUUAUUUUCUGUUUCUGUUUUUAUUUAAUAUAUCUGCAACUUUGUUGAAUUAAAUAAAAUACCUAGGCAACUUCAAAAAUCACCAAACUAUUCCUGGCCCAUAGUUGGAUUAUUUCCAACAUGAAACAUUUUAGUUUGGAGAUAUUUGAGCAGUUAAAUAUUUUAUAUUAUUUUAAAUGCCCAAAUUCAAAUAUUUAUGAUUUAAUUCAAAACCCUAGGAUGGCCUAGGAAAAUGUGCACCACUUUUGGCAGAGGUUCUGAACCAAGACAAAAAUGAUGGGCAUUUUAGAAGGGCAUUUCAGGUUCAUUGAAAAUUAUUUUAGUAACCCUAGUUGGUUUCAGAGGGGACUGGGGGUUCUGUCAUCCCCAUUUCAAGUUUCUGAUGAAAGAGUAAACAUGAUGCAACACUCUAAUGCAUGACUAGCUAGGGUGUGACAACUCACCCCCACUCAAAAGAAUCUCGUCCCGAGAUUCGGGUUCCUUCGGGAAGAAGGCGGGAUAUUCAAGUCGAAGACGAUCCUCCCUUUCCCAAGUUGCUUCAUCCUCAGAAUGGUGCGACCAUUGAACCUUGAGAAACUUGAUAUUAUGACGUCGCGUGGUACGUUCGGCUUGAUCGAGGAUACGAAUGGGGUACUCCCGAUAUGUAAGAUCAUCUUGGAGAUCAAGCAUUUCGUGGUCCACUUCACGGACAGGAUCCGAGAAGCGACGCCUGAGUUGAGAAACGUGGAAGACAUCGUGAACUCUGGAGAGGUGCGGAGGUAGUUCCAACUGGUAGGCAACUUCUCCCCGUUUGGCAAGAAUGCGAAAAGGUCCAAUGUAACGAGGAGCCAAUUUGCCUUUGAUACCGAAACGAUGGGUUCCCUUCAGAGGGGUGACCCGAAGAUAAGCCUUCUCGUCAACCUCGAAAGUCAUAGCCUUAUGUUUUCGGUCAUAUUGACUCUUUUGACGAGAUUGGGCUGUUUUCAACUUUUCACGAACGAUACGAACUUGUUCUUCUGCUUCCUGAAUCAUAUCCGGGCCAAAGAAUUGUCUUUCCCCGGUCUCUGACCAGUUAAGGGGCGUUCGACAUCGUCGUCCAUAGAGAACUUCAAAAGGGGAUUUACCCAAGCUAGAUUGAUAGCUGUUGUUGUAAGCGAAUUCGGCAAAUGGAAGGCACUUCUCCCAGUCCAUUCCGAAAGAGAUAACGGAGGCUCGAAGCAUGUCUUCUAGAAUCUGAUUGACGCGUUCCACUUGACCACUCGACUGAGGGUGGAAAGCGGUGCUAAAGGAGAGACGGGUUCCCAUAGCAUUUUGGAAACUUUCCCAAAAUCGAGAGGUGAAAAGACUUCCUCGAUCCGAGUUAAUUUCCAGAGGAACACCAUGGAGAGACACUAUUCGGGAGAUGUACAAAUCUGCCAGCUGACUAGCGGUUAUACUCUCACGAGCAGGUAAAAAAUGAGCUACUUUGGAAAGACGAUCGACCACGACGAAGAUAGCAUUAUUCCCUCUCUUGGUCCUGGGAAAACCGGUAAUGAAAUCCAUACCAAUUUUAUCCCAUUUCCAUUCAGGAAUAGCUAAGGGUUGAAGGGUGCCAGCAGGCCGUUGAUGCUCUGCUUUUACACGUCGACAGACGUCGCAAUUUGCAAUAUACUGAGCAAUUUCUCUCUUCAUCCUAGUCCACCAGAACCUCUGGCGUAGGUCCUGAUACAUCUUAGUACUACCGGGAUGAAUGGUGAGAGGAGAUUCAUGAGCUUCCUUAAGGAUCAAUCACCUCAGGUUGCGCACUUUGGGAACCACUAGUCGAUCCCCGAAGUAUACGACCCCUUGAUCAUUAAUGGAGAAGCAAUUCGCAAUUCCUUUCUAAAUGUUUCUCUUGAUGCGGGAGAUUCCCGGAUCUACCUUCUGUGCUUUGAUAAUUUGAUCCGUAAGGGUAGGUUUUGCCACCAAGGUGGAAAGAAAACCUUGAGGUAUAAUGUGAAGGUUAAGCUUCCGAAAUUCCUCAUGGAGAAGCGGUUGACUUUGUUGUAACAUCAGGUUGUUACAAUAAGAUUUACGACUUAGCGCAUCAGCCUUGACGUUGGCUUUCCCUGGGGUGUAGGUUAUUCCUAAGUCGAAGUCUGUGAUCAAUUCAACCCAACGUCUCUGCCUGAGAUUCAAAUCCGGUUGGGUGAAAAUGUACUUCAGGCUUUGGUGAUCAGUGAAUAUUUCGCAACGAUUACCGAGGAGGUAAUGUCGCCAGGUCUUAAGUGCAUAGACUACGGCUGCAAGCUCUAGAUCAUGAGUAGGAUAAUUCUCCUCAUGUGGGUGCAAUUGCCGUGAAGCGUAAGCAAUUACGUGUCGAUCUUGCAUGAGAAUGCAACCUAGUCCUUGUCGCGAGGCGUCGCAGUAGAUAACAAAGUCCUUGGAGAAGUCUGGCGGUACCAGCACGGGAGCAGAGGUCAGGCGUCUUUUCAGUUCCUGAAAGCUGUGCUCACAUUGUGGGGUCCAUUUGAACUUCUUAUCUUUCUUGAGGAGUUCGGUUAGAGGUUUAGCAACUUUGGAGAAGUUCUCGACAAAGCGACGGCAAUAGCUCGCUAAGCCUAGAAAACUCCGAACUUGCUUGACCGAUUCGGGUGGAGUCCAAUUAAGGACGGCUUGAACUCGCUCAGGGUUAACAGCAAUACCUUUACCAGAUAUUACAUGACCCAGAUAGGUCACUUCUGACAACCAGAAUUCACAUUUUGAAAAUUUGGCAUAAAGGCGAUGCUCUCGAAGUUUCUUCAACACUAGCCUUAAAUGUUCGGCAUGUUCUUCCUCGUUCUUGGAGUAGAUGAGUAUAUCAUCGAGAUAAACUACGACGAAUUUAUCCAAAUACUCCAUGAAGAUUGAGUUCAUUAACCGAGAAAAGGUGGCUGGAGCGUUGGUUAAUCCGAAGGACAUGACGGUGUACUCGUAUUGGCCAUAACGAGUAACAAAGGCCGUUUUGGGAAUGUCCCUGUUUCUGAUUUUGAUUUGAUGGUAGCCCAACCUCAAAUCCAUCUUGGAGAAGACUGAGGAUCCAGCGAGCUGAUCAUACAGAUCGUUGAUCCUGGGAAGUGGAUAUUUGUUCUUGAUUGUGACCAAAUUGACAGGUCGGUAAUCUACAACCAUCCGAUCCGUACCAUCCUUCUUCUUGACGAAUAGGACGGGGCAAGCCCACGGAGAUGAACUAGGGCGGAUGAAACCCUUUUUCAAGGAUUCGUCGAGUUGUUUCUUAAGCUCGGCUAGUUCUAGGGGUGCCAUUUUAUAAGGUCUUCUAGCAAUCGGAACGGUUCCGGGGAUGAGGUCGAUUACGAACUCAACAUCCCUGUCAGGUGGAACACCUGGCAAUUCCUCUGGGAAGACAUCCGGGAAGUCACGGACUACCGGAACGUCCUCAAGGUCUGGCAAAGGGCUAGCGUUAAGGGAAUAUAAUUGUCGCUUGGCUAUUCGGGUCAAGACAUUGACUAUCUUCCCCGAAGGAUGGGUGAGUUGAACAGUCCUAGAGAAGCAAUCAAUUUGGGCAUGAUGAGCUGACAUCCAGUCCAUACCCAGAAUGAUAUUAAUAUCUGAAGAUUUAAGGGCUAUCAAAGAUGCGAGGAAAACAAGUCUGUCGACUUGGGUUUCAUUUCCAUAACUUACCCUAGAGGUCUGCCAUCUAGAACCAGGGGUAGAAAUUUCCAUAGUGGACGGCAAGUCACAGAAUGCAACGUUAUGCAAACGAGCAUAAUUUUCAGAUAUAAAAGAAUGAGAGGCUCCUGUAUCGAAAAGAACAGAUGCCGGGUGGCAAUUAACAAGAAGCGUACCGAGAACGACGUUGGGGUCCUCUUGAGCUUCUUCGGUAGAGAUACAGUUGACAUGGCCACGUGAAGCGGUGACCGGUUUAGCAUGAAACACUUUCCCUAUCGGCUUGCCACGGCCAACAGCUUUAGCAGAUUGAUUUGGGUUGGUCUGGGGACACUCACGCAUAUAGUGGCCAGAUUCCCCACACUUGAAACAAGUCACGGAACUGGUACGUGGAGGAGCAUUAUUGGUUGGACCCCCAUAGGGCUUGGCCGGUGCAGACUGUUGAACAGGGCGAGGCGCCUGGAAGGAUGGCCUCGGUGUGAACCUGGGUGGCAGGGCGGUGUUGGGUACCCACACGCGGCGCUUCUGAGGACCAGCACCGGAUGAGGAACCCAUGUCACGUCCAUGCUUGCGUGUUGCGUCAUAGUCAGUCUGACCAGUUUCAGCACUGAUGGCUUUGUUGACAAGUUUCGAAAAAGAUGUGCACUCAUGCAGACGGAGGUCGCGGCGAAGCUCAGGACUAAGUCCCUUACGGAACCUUGCUUGCUUCUUGGCGUCAGUAGACACUUCCUCAGUUGCAUAUCGGGCGAGAUUACCAAACUCUCUGCUAUAGGCAUCCACAGAAAGUCGGCCUUGGGUGAAACUACAAAAUUCUUCACGUUUACGGUCCAUGAGACCCUCCGGAUUGUGAUGUUCACGGAAAGCCUCGCUGAACUCAGCCCAAGUGGUGACAUGGCCCGCUGGGUGCAUAGCUCCAUAAUUCUCCCACCAUAGACUGGCAGGGCCUUCAAGAUGAUAUGCAGCAAAGGUGACCUUGUCAGCCUCCGCUACCAGCGCGGAACGCAGCUUGUGAGAGAUACUGCGAAGCCAGUCAUCAGCGUCGAGAGGCUCGACGGAGUGGUGGAACGUGGGUGGAUGCAAUUUGAUAAAAUCACUGAGUGACACCACGUUAGCCCUCUGAUGGUGUGCUGUAUUCUGUUCAAUACGCUCCAACAAACGGUUUGUCUCCCGCUUGUUUCUCUCAGCUUCCAUCAUAACCUGGGCUAGUGAAGGAGGAUGAGGCAGAUUUGCAUCCCUGGCUUCACUGCCUUCGGCCUGCUCUUGGGAAGCAGGGUUAGCGCGCGUGUUGACCAUCCUAGGUAAACAAGACAAUGAUUUAGUCAGAAUGAUAAAAUUCCGACAUAGGAUACAUAAUGUAAGGAAUAACUCGGAAUGCAAGAUGAUCAUCCGUAUGACAUGGUAGAUACAGAAACUGCUUCUUUUAUUCCAUCAUCAUACACACCAUACAAGGUUUAGUACAAGACCAAACAAAGUACUAUUACGGUGAGAAAAAGGAUUACAUCUCAUCGGAGGCAUUCCAAGCUCCUAUACAUUAUUUUUCUACACCUCCGGAAAGAGUACAACUAGGUCAUAUCCCACGAGUCACGCAGGACGAUAGACGACACGGCUAGUGCGAACUAGUGAUACUACCCCUAAUUCAGACCGAUCCGUAGUAGUCCUCAUAGAAGUCACCUCCAUAGCCUGGAAGUUCAACAUGAUCAUCCGGAAACAGACGGUCUCGCGGAGCUUGUGGACCAUAGGGGCUAGGAUGAGGCCUUGGACCAACAAACGGUGGCCUGCGGGGACCGCGAGGUGGGGUGAUGCCUCCUACAUCACGCCAAACCAUCACGUCUGGCAGAGCAGAUCUCACAGGAUAGAGAUCGCGCAUAUCUGAAUAUCCAGCUUGCACCGCCGGUGCGAACCGAGUCAAAGUAGCCCAGUGGUCAGCACGGGUAUUGAAGAGCUCUAACCUUAAGGCCCGAUUUUCAUGGUCCUUAUCCUCGAGCAUCUCAGCAGUGGUGCGAGUCCGUGAAUCCUCCUGAGUGGAGUCAGCAUAGAUAGCCUGGAGAUACCCUUGUGCUCCCGGAAGUGAUCCUGGCAUAUACCGGAAAUCAGAGUCCCGAAAUAAACCAGAUCUGACUCGCAUAAUGGUCAUCAUAGAGUAGGCUGCGUCCUGCACAGCCAUCUCAAUAGUAACCCCGAGUCCAUAGGAGCAGUGAAGAGGCUCGGUAGAUCCAGGAUAAGAUGGAAAUAUCCUGACAGUGCAGAGAUACUGGCUUUGAUUGAAGUCCCGAAAUUGCUCUUCGACCGUGUACUCAGGAUACCAGCGGUAUCCAGCCUCAGUCAUUACCCUGACCAACUUAGCAGUAUGGCCGGGUACAUCUAGGCAUCGAGUCAGGCGAACCACUUGAUUGAGGUCGCGAGUGGCCAUCUGAAAGCACAAUCAUAAUGCAAAGGCAUUAGAAUUUCUAGCAAAAUUUCGGCAGCAUAACAGCUGUAAAUGCUCAAAAAGAAUUUUGAGACAUUUAACAAAGGAUUUCGUACACACUCAACAUCACCAUAUCAAAGUUCUGAAACCAUUCUAACAACAUAAUGUGGUAGUAGAACUGAACUAGGCUUGUAACCAUCAAACUUAUAAGGUACUACUGAUUAGUAACUCGUGAUCCUGAUAGAGAGAACAGAUCCUAAUUCCUUAACCCCCGGUGGAAGAAUGGACUGACUCAGAUCAGAAUGUCAUAAGAUAGAGGAGUAAAAAGAGCCUUACGUUCCAUCCCACAAACAAUUCCCCUACAUAUAACUAAAGAAUUUCUAGACUCACCAUCGACCAGUUUGGCUUGGAGAACCUACAGGCAGUCCGGCUCUGAUGCCAACGCUGUUAGGACCCCGACUCGAUGUCACAUCGAUCUAGCUGGUAACACCUCAUAUCACUUUGCGGCCUCACGCACGGUAUUCCCACGGGUGUCGUCUUACCUUUUCCCGGGACCGUUUGCGCCUUUUGGCUCACGUAUAUGAUAGUGUCGCUAGCAUCCAUAUGAUAAGGAGCCCGGGCUGACAUGACUAGUCGUAAACCCAAAGCGGCACAGACUUACAGGGACAGGCAUCCAUGACCCAGCUUCGAACGUGUCGGUCAUCAGCAAGUGGGUCCGGGCUGUAGCACUGGGCUAGCAGGACUCCGGUAAACCGGGCUGUAGCGGGCUAACAGGACUCCGGUACUCAAAGCGUGACAUUUCCCCGAAGGGACAGACACAGGAACGAAGAAGGACACAUGCCGGCCAGCCUAAGUGUUCCAGAGCAGUAGCAAGCUACCAUGGCUCAGCGGUAACACUAGGAGACAUUUCCCGGUAAGAGAGGCUACUAAAGAUAAACAACUAGAUAGUCAGAUCCCACACAUACCAAGCAUUUCAAUCAUACACACAAUAUGCUCGAUAUGUGCAAAUACAACGAAGCAUCACAACAUGACUCUACGACACAAGUACUUUAUUUAAGGCUCAGGGAGCCAUACAUAUCAUACACAAAGGUACGGGUCUCACGACCCAACAUACAAGUCAUACAGUCAUACAAACCAGCAGCGGAAGUACAUUGUCUGGGUACAGACAACUAGUAAAAUAAAAGAGGCCUGGAAGCCUAGCUAUUCUACGUGGUCCAUCACAAGCUCAGGGUCACCACCUGGGUCUUUAGCCUACUCGUUGAUGUCAACGUCUACAUAGAACCCAUCAGAAGGGGUUGCAGCGUCUUCUGUAAAAAUGUAGAUUAUAGCAACAUGAGUACAAAGGUACUCAGCAAGACUUACAUCAGAUCCUACAUACAUGCAUAGUAUCAAGAAGGGUUGGUGGAGUUAUUGCAGCAAGCCAGCUUUGACUCUUGGCUAGACUAUCCUACGAUACUCCAACUUGAAAUGUUUUGUGCACACGAGUCCACUACUCACCACUUCAAUACACUACCGAGGAUCCACCUCCGUCUUCCUACGGAAGAGCCAUCCUCGGCACUCACACUUAUCUUGAGGCUUUUAGUAGUUUCCAUUUACUUGUCUAUGAACUGUAUAGGCAACCAAGUAGUCCUUUACCGCGAACGCGGCUAUUCGAAUAGAUCAUGUUAACCCUGCAGGGGUGUACUCCUUCAUACACGCUCUCACCACUUAUCGUCGUUUACACGACAUGUACUCGGCAACCUUCAAGCGGAAGCCCAACGUGGGUGUCGGCCACGACCUACCUAAUCACCUAAGCCUCCAGUCCAGGUUUAUCGCCUAUUCAGGUUCCAUCCGCAGAGAGUCCGGCCGAGGUUUCCCAUACGGCCCCGAACGAUGUGAACAGGGUUCCCGAGAUACCUAACGGGUAUUCGGUACACCCGGCCACGUACCUACCGCAUCACAGCCCACCCCUACGGUCAGCACUGUCCACGGCCUCCAGUAGGCUACAAACACCAGAAACUACUUGCAACUCCUGGACGGAGAACUAGGGUGAAUAAGAAGCCGAGAGGGUCCAUUGGUUUCGGGCCCAAUGCAUGGUAGUAGCUGAUUCUUAAAUCACACAUACAGAUCUCAGUGCUUAAGGUCGGCUUCAAUGAAACAACCCACCAUGUACUCCUACAUGGCCUCUCAUCGAUACCUUUACCAAAUCGUGUUCACCACACCACUCUCCUUACCGACAUAACAUUUCACUCCAGCCCAUCACCCAGAUGAACCAGACCUGACACGACUCUAAGUAUAGCAGGCAUAGCAAGGUAGGAACAACACAUACAUAGGGCUCAAUCAACUCCUACACAUGCUAGUGGGUUUCAUCUAGUUACUGUGGCAAUGACAGGUCAUGCAGAGGAAAUGGGUUCAACUACCGUAGCACACAGCAGUUUGAAUCGCGUUGUCUUAAUGCAGUAAAAGAGAGUAGGAGCGAGAUCAUGGGAUUGUAUCGAUAUGAUCAAAUGGUUGGUUGCUUGCCUGAUGGUUCGAUGCACUAAUAUGGUUCUUCGUUAGGGUAAUCACGGUAUUCCUCGGGGACAGAACCUGUCGCAAAGGACAUCGAUACACAAGCAUCACCAAACAAUGUGCAACAAUAUGAUGCAUGCAUGAAACAUGGCAAUAUGAGUGUGUUGGGCUAAUGCAACUAAGCCAGAAGGGUUUGAACAAAUUUGAAUCAAAGAUUCAAAUUCCAAAUUCAAAUAUGGCCUUUUAAAGUGCCUUUUCUUGUUUUGCUUAAAACAUCAAUUUAACUUGUUUGAUCAUGCAUGAAAAUGGUACAGAUGGAUAGAUUGGAUUUUUCUGAUCAUUUUUCAUAUAUAAUUUGUCCAAUUUGGAGUUACAGAAUAAAAGUUAUGAAUUUUUGAAGUUUAAUUAAUAUUCUAGAAUUUCCUGAUUUAAUUUAAAUCCAGAAAAUCAAUUACUGCGUCAGCCUGACGUCAGUGUGACGUCAGCAGGUCAACGGAACAGGUCUGGGUCAAACCUGACAGUGGGUCCCGCAUGUCAGGGUGAUUAAUUUAAUUAAAAGUUAGUUAAAACUAAUCCUGUUUAAUUAACAGGGCUGGGCCCCACCUGUCAUUGACUCAGGGGAGUCAACCAGGGCCCACCCGUGGUCAAAGUCAAAGUCGGCUGCCGGCGUGUAGCCGCCGGCGAGCCCGACGCGGCGGCGGAAGUGGUUUUUGCUAUUUCGGCCACCAAAUGGAACGCGGAGGCCACCGGAGUGGAGCUGAGGACAACCCGCAGCUCUUGGCGGAGUCCGUUGGGGUCGGGGUGGCCGGAGUCGACGCCGGCGACGACUUUGGCGGCCACCGAGGUUCAGUCGGAGGUGAACUUGGUGCUAGAGGGUUCGGUGAGGCUCGUGGAGUGGCUAGCUAGGUGCUGCGGGACGCGGUGAGCAAGAUGGACACCAUCUUGUGGCCGGAGGAUGACCAGGAGCACGUCGGCGACGAGGUCCACGGCGGUGGGUGCAGUUGAGCUCCGGGAGGUUGCUACACGGCUCGGGAGCAAGAACGAAGGGGAGGGGAAGAUGGCUAAGCUCACAGUGAGUGCGACGGAGUCCCUGGUGCGGCCGGAGAUGGACCGGAGCGACGAUGGCGUUGAAGGGGAUCUCCGGCGACGGUGAGCUCGGGCGAGGUCGGUGCGGUGGUCUCGGGCGUUGCGAGCUCUCGGGGCUCGGCUGCUCGAUGAAGUGGACAGCGGCGGAGCUCCUGGACACGGUGAGACGGCGUGGGGUGGUCGGAGGGCGUGGCUACGGCGAGGGGGUGGCGGCGAUGGCGUCGGCCAUGGCUGGGGCGUGCAAGGGGAAGGAGCUGGAGAGGAGAGGGGGUGUCUGGGGGGUUCGGGGGAGAGAGAGAGGCCGAUCCACGGUGUUAGCCGGGCGAGGGAGGCGGCGAGGCGGCGAGCAGCUGCGUGGCGAGCUGCGGUGCCGCCGCCGAGUACCUUGGCUGCCUGCCUGGCGAGCCAAGCAGCUCGCUGGAGCGGUGGCCGGACUGGGCCGGCCAGGUGGGCUGGCUGGUGGGCCUGCGGUGGCGUCAGGUAGGUUUUCCCCCUUAUUUUCUGUUUCUGUUUUUAUUUAAUAUAUCUGCAACUUUGUUGAAUUAAAUAAAAUACCUAGGCAACUUCAAAAAUCACCAAACUAUUCCUGGCCCAUAGUUGGAUUAUUUCCAACAUGAAACAUUUUAGUUUGGAGAUAUUUGAGCAUUUAAAUAUUUUAUAUUAUUUUAAAUGCCCAAAUUCAAAUAUUUAUGAUUUAAUUCAAAACCCUAGGAUGGCCUAGGAAAAUGUGCACCACUUUUGGCAGAGGUUCUGAACCAAGACAAAAAUGAUGGGCAUUUUAGAAGGGCAUUUCAGGUUCAUUGAAAAUUAUUUUAGUAACCCUAGUUGGUUUCAGAGGGGACUGGGGGUUCUGUCAUCCCCAUUUCAAGUUUCUGAUGAAAGAGUAAACAUGAUGCAACACUCUAAUGCAUGACUAGCUAGGGUGUGACAGUGUAUGCUAUUGAAAUGCUUGGUAUGUGUGGGAUCUGACCAUCUAGUUGUUUAUCUUUAGUAGCCUCUCUUACCGGGAAAUGUCUCCUAGUGUUUCCACCGAGCCAUGGUAGCUUGCUACUGCUCCGGAACACUUAGGCUGGCCGGCAUGUGUCCUUCUUCGUUCCUGUGUCUGUCCCUUCGGGGAAAUGUCACGCAAUGUAUACCGGAGUCCUGUUAGCCCGCUACAGCCCGGUUCACCGGAGUCCUGCUAGCCCAGUGCUACAGCCUGGAUUCACUCGCUGAUGACCGACACGUUCGAUGCUGGGUCAUGGAUGCCUGUCCCUGUAAGUUUGUGCCACUUUGGGUUUACGACUAGCCAUGUCAGCCCGGGCUCCUUAUCAUAUGGAUGCUAGCGACACUGUCAUAUACGUGUGCCAAAAGGCGCAAACGGUCCCGGGUAAAGGUAAGGCGACACCCGUGGGAAUACCGUGCGUGAGGCCGCAAAGUGAUAUGAAGUGUUACAUGCUAGAUCUAUGUGGCAUUGAGUCGGGGUCCUGACAUGUGGACUGUACGUGGACAGGCUGACAGCUGGGUCCACGGCCGCAGCAAGGAAGUGCCUCCUUAUUACGCGGAAAAUAAUGAUUCCUCCACCUGGCAACUGGGACCCACCGGACGGGCCACUAUAUUUUGUGAAAAAACCGUUUCCCCCCUGACUGCUGGGACCCACCAGCUACAUCUUCGCACGCAAGGAAGUGUGUCCGAAAAAACGAUUCGCCCCCUGACUGUUGGGACCCACCAUCUACAUCUUCACACGCAAGGAAGUGCCUGACAGUCGGGACCCACCUGGUCAAAGCGUACGUAGCGUUGUCAUUCUGGUCGCGAACGUGUACGUACAUACUGGUGGAUGUAGAGGCGCGCACGUGUCAUAGUAGAGGCACACCCGUGUCGUAGUAGAGCCGCGUACGUGCCGUAGUAGAGGCGCGCACGUAGCAUGUACACAUACGUACAACGGCCAGUGUGCAAGAAAGAAAAUACGACCACGUAUGUGUACAUACGGGCGGAGUCUCGAACGCCUACUCGUGCAUAUGUACGGCCAGGGCUCGUGUACAUGGCUGGGUCGGAAUGGAGAAACAGCGUCGUCGCCGUGUUCUUGGGGAGCCAACCGGCUGGGUCAGAACGGAAUGCGUCCUCGUGUUCAUCGGGAGGGCUUGGACGGAACAGGCGAUGGAAACGAGGCCUGGCGUAUCGCAGAACAGAGGAAACGGCCUUGUGUUCGACCGGGCACGUUCGAAAUGGUAUCCUAUUCAUCGGGAGGGGUCUGGUGUACCGCAAAAUGGAGGAAACAGACCUCCUAUGGUCGAAACGGGGGUCCUGUUGAUCGGGAGGGGUGUGGCGUACCGCAAAAUGGACAAAACGGACUUGUGUUGGAGCGCUACGGUCGAAAUGAGGGUCCUGUUCAUCGGGAGGGGUGUGGCGUACCACAAAACGGGACUCCACGGGAUAUUGUUCAUCUCUACCGUCGACCUCCUCCAGCCUCCACGGGCUACCGUCGACCUCCUCCAGCCUCCACGGGCUCCUGUUCAUCCAGCCUCCACCACGCGCUACUCCACCGGCUACUGUUCAACCACCCCUCCACGGGCACCCCUCCAUCGUCUACUAUUCAUCCAGCCCUCCUUGGGCUCGUCCUAUUCAUCCAGCCCUCCAUGGUGUCCUAUUCAUCCAGCCCUAGCCGACUCGAUCGAGGCAACGCCACAGGGUCGUGUUCAUCCACCCCCACCGAUCACUGUUCAUCCACCCCCCCGCAACGCUCACUGUUCAUCCAGAGAGGCAGCAUCGAUCGGCUUCAGUUAGCAUCAAUAGCGGAGGAAUCUCUUGACGCGUAGCCUGCUGUGCAAUCGCUCGGGUUCAGUUAGAGACCGACGCCUCGCUUGGGUUCAGUUAGAGCCAAUGCCUCGCACACACGUGCGUACAUGUAUGAGAGAAACGCGCAUCGCUCGGCCCCCGACUGCCCACCGUAACUGGGAACUCCCCAAAAUUUUCCUCGCCCUCGCUUCUACCACGGUUUUUCCCGUCAUGGAUGGCCCAAAGAAUGUCAUGCAGCCGCAUGUCCGGCCCGCCCAGGACGAAAAGCCCAUUUUCUGUCAUGAUUUUUUGUCAUAGAAGUAGGAGCCCACCACAUCUAUGAUGAUACCGGGUUUUGUCACAAUUAUCGUCAUAGAAGUGUCAUAAGUAUGACAGAAAAAAUUUCGUUCGGCCCAAAAUGUCACAGAUGUGUCUUUUUUUGUAGUGUCAACACGAGGUAAGUAGGGUGAAUCUCGGGUUUAAAAAGCCAAGAGUAGAAUACCUACUACUAAGUGGCAUCACGAGAUGCUUUCGAGAAUGAUGGUGGCCGGAAUCAUCACACAGGGACACUCGGACAGCAUAACGGCUGUAAAUGCUCAAAAAGAUUUGAGACAUGCUACUAAAAGGGUGGCAUAACCACUCAGAAGCACAAUAUCAAGGUAUAGAGAUCAACAGUUAACAUACAGAAGUAGUAGGAACUAAACUGAGGCUUGAAUUCAACAAUCUUACAAGUCUACAGAUUAGUAACACGUGAUCCUGAUAGAAAGAGGAGAUAGCCUAGUUCCUUAACCCUGCAGGAGAGAUAGGAUGACUCGGAUCAGAAUGGCAUAUGGUAAAGGAGUAAAAGAUCCUUACGUUCCAUCCCACAAUCAAUUCCCCUACAUAACUAAAGAAUUUCUAGACUCAACUGUGACUAGUUUGGCUUGGUGAUCCUACAUGCAGUCAGGCUCUGAUACAAAUGCUUUCAGGACCCCAACUCAAUGCCACACCGAUCUAGCAUGUAACACCUCAUAUCACUUUGCGGCCUCACGCACGGUAUUUCCACGGGUGUCGCCUUAUCAGGCCCGGGACCAUUUGCGCCUUUUGGCACACGUAUAUGAUAGUGUCGCUAGCAUCCAUAUGACAAGGAGCCCGGGUUGACAUGGCUAGUCGUGAACCCAAAGUGGCACUAACUUACAGGGACAGGCAUACAUGUCCCAGCAACGAACAUGUUGGCCAUCAGCGAGUGAAUCCGGGCUGUAGCAGCUAGGCUAGCAGGACUCCGGUAAAUCGGGCUGUAGCAGGCUAAUAGGACUCCGGUAGACACCGCAUGACAUUUCCCUGAAGGGACAGACACAGGAACGAAGAAGAACACAUGCUGGCCAGCCUAAGUGUUCCGAAGCAGUAGCAAGCUACCAAGGCUCAGUGGAAGCACUAGGAGACAUUUCCCCAUAAGAGAGGAUACCAAGGAUAAACAACUAGAUAGUCAGAUCCCACACAUACCAAACAUUUCAAUAACAUACACACAAUAUGCUCGAUAUGUGCAAAUACAACAUGGCAUCACAACAUGACUCUACAACUCAAGUAUUUUAUUCAAUAGGCUCCGAGGAGUGAGAUAUUACAAACAUGGGUCUCAUGACCCAACAUUCAGAGCAUACAACUCAAAGCACAAGCAGAAGCUUAACAUGCCUGAGUACAGACAUCUACAAAUGAAAAAGGCUGAGAAGACUGACUAUCUACCAGAUCCUGCCGAGGGCACAAGAUUGUAGCUGAGGUAACAAGCUAAACGUCGAAGUCCACACGGAACUACUAGUGAGACGGAAGUCUCUCUACAAAACAUAAAAUAGGCAAACGUGAGUAUAAAUGUACCCAGCAAGACUUACAUCAGAUCUAACUACAUAUGCAUCAUUAUCAACAAAGGGAUGGUGGGGUUUAACUACAGCAAGCCAGCUUUGACUCGGUGGCUAUCCUAAACUACGACUACAAGUAACUCUUUUGGGGUGGCGCACAGGAGUCCACAUAUUCACCAUAUCAAUACACCACUACGGAUCUGGUCCCGUCUCCCUACGAGAACGCCAUCCAUAGCACUCACGCUUAUCUUGCGUAUUUUAGAGUAUCCACUUUCACUUUUCUAUGAACUGUAUAGGUAACCCAGAGGUCCUUUACCAUGGACGCGGCUAUUCGAAUAGAUGAUGUUAACCCUGCAGGGGUGUACUUCUUCACACACGCUAUCACCACUUACCGCCGUUUACACGACAUGUACUCGGCAACCUUCAAGCGGAAGCCCAAUGAGGGUGUCGGCCACGGCCUACCGAAACACUCAAGUCUCUAGUCCAGGUUUAUCACCUAUUCAGGUUCCAUCCACAGGGAGUCCGGCCGAGGCUUCCACAUAUGGCCUCGAACGAUGUGUACAGGGUUCCGCAACACUAAACGGGCGCCCGUCAUACCCGGCCAUGUGCCUACCGCAUCACAACCCACCCCUCGGGUCAGCGCUGCCCACGGCCUCCAGCAUACUACAAACACUAGAAACUACUUGCAACUCCUGGACAGAGGACAAGGGUGAUUAAGAAGCCGAGAGGUUCCAUUGGUUUCGGGCCCAAUGCAUGGUAGUAACUGUUUCAUGGAUCAUAAACACAAAACUCAGUUCUUGAGGAUGGCUUUAAUGAGACAACCCACCAUGUACUCCUACAUGGCCUCUCACCUCUACCUUUACCAAAUCGUUUUCACACACUUAACUCACACACAGUAGGACAUGUUCAUCACUGUUCCAAUUCAUCCCCGAUGAAUCAGACCUGACUCAACUCUAAGCAGUAGCAGGCAUGACAAACAAGCAUGAAUGAGUAGGCACAUCAGGGCUCAAACAACUCCUACUCACGCUAGUGGGUUUCAUCUAUUUACUGUGGCAAUGACAGCUCAUGCAAAGGAAAGGGGUUCAACUGCCGCAGCAAGUAACAGAUGAAUCGUUGUCGUCCUAAUGCAGUAAAAGAGAGUAGGAGCAAGAGAGUGGGAUUGUAUCGGAAUGAAUAAGGGUUUUUUUCUUGCCUGGCACUUCUGAAGAUAGUAUAGCUCUUGAUCGGUGUCAUCGAACUCAUCGUCGGAACCACGUCUAUUGAGAGGGGACAAACACCGGCAAACAAGGAAGAACACAAUCAAUGCUAUGCACAAUAUUAUGCAUGAUCAUGGCAUGUCAAUAUGGUCUGGUUUGAGCUAAUGCAACUAGCAGGAAGUUAAAUGGAGUUGGUUUGAAUCUAAGAUUCAAAUUCAAACUCCAUUAAUGACAUUUCAAAUGCCAUUAAUUCAAAUUGUUGUAUACAGCAGCUUUAAGUUGUUCAAACAUGCAUGAUAAUGCAAUAAACAGAUUCUUUGGAUUUUUUUGAUCAUUUUUCAUAUAUAACUUGUUUUAUUUGGAGCUACGGUUGAAUUUAUAUGAUUUUUAGAAGUUUAAGCCUUUUUCUGGAUUUUUCUAAUUAAAUAGAAUUAAACUAAUUCCAGAAAAGGAUUUACUGCGUCAGCCUGACGUUAGGGUGACAUCAAUGAGUCAAUGAGUCAGCCCAGGUCAAACUAACCAGUGGGGCCCGUGUGUCAGUGGCUAACUAAACUAACCUAAUUUAAUUAGCACUAACCUAGGUUAAACUAAUUAAGUUUAAACCUAAACUAGGUUAAUUAGCCGGGCAGGGCCCGCAUGUCAUUGACCUAGGAGAGGUCAAACCCCUGGUCAACCAGGCCUAAAACUCCAGUGGCUCUCGCCGGAGACAGCAGGUGUGGCGGGGCCUCGGGUUUCGCCCUCCGGCGACCAAAAGGAGGGUGGAGGGGCUCUGCGUGCUGCUGGGAGUGCUCCGCAUCUCCCUGUGCAAGCGGGAGGGGCUCCGGCGGCCGGAGUUGAGCAUGGCGUCGACCUCAGCGGCGGCCAGAGUUCAGGUGCACUCAGAAAUGAGGCUGCGGUGGCCGUGGGGUGGCGUGCUUGGCUCCUACGGCACCUGCGCGGCGCGGUGAGCACAUGGGUGUGCUCGGUUGGGAGUUGCGGUGGCUGUGGGCACGACGGCGGCGCAGUUCAGUCUCAGGCAAGACGGUGACCACGGCGUGCAAACGAGACAGGGAAGAGGAGGGUUCAGGGGAGGAGGUCACGGCGGAGAUGAAGAGCAGGACAGCCAGCUCGAGGGAGGCCGGAGCUAAGCAGGGUGGUGAAGCGGAUCUCCGGCUACCCGAGGUUGAAGAAGACGGUAUGGACGACAUUCGAGGGUGUCCAGCGCUGCACGGGCCGGUGAUGACAAAGAGGGGAACGAGACGGAGCUCUUGGGCAGCUCGGGGCGUCGUAGGGAUGGCGAUGGUCACGGCAACAGCGAGCGGCGGCGAUGGUCGCGCUCGGGUGGCUGUGCGCGAGAGAAACACAGGAGGGGAUAGAGAGCAGCAAGUGAGGAGGAGGGGAGAGAGGUCUCAGGGUGUCUCCGUGGCGUGAGGGGGGAAAGGGAGAGCUCGCCAGCGCGAAGCAGGAGGUGGCGCACGGGCGCGCGUGCGCUGUCUCCCUCUGCCUACUGGCAGAGGUAGGUGAUGACUGGCAUGGACCAGGUGGGCCGCCCCAGCCAGGUAAGUGGCAUGUGGCCUUUCUCUCUCUCUCUCUCUUAUUAACUGUUUUCUAUUUUUCUGCAACUGUUUUGGCUUUAUUAAAAAUGCCAGAGCAUUUUCAAAAAUCCUGAAAAUAUUUGUGGGCACUAUUGAAAUUAUUCUCAACAGCCCUCAACUAGUUUCAGAAUUAUGAGAGCAUUUAAAUUUUUUAUAGGAUUUAAAUGCCCCAAUUCAAAUACAAUAUGAGUUAAUUCAAAAAUCCAGAAAUGACCUAGAAAUAUGUUUAUCAUUUUUGGCAGAGGUUUUUACCUUUAUCAGAAAUGAUGAACAUUUCCAAAGGGAAUUUUGGGAUCAUUGAAAAUAUUUCAUUGUGACCCUAGUUGGAUUUCAUUUGGUGCUAGGGUUUGAACAUCCCCAUUUCAAGUUUUGGCAAAAUCUAAACAUGAUGCACACAUGAAGCUACCCUAGUGCAUUGCCAGGAGCUAGGGAUGUGACAUAAUUGUUCUGGUUCAUUUGUUCUGAUGUCCAGUUAACUGUUUGGUUCAAUUCUGCAAUUUGAUUUUCAAUUGUUGUGGGUACAAUUUUGUAUUGUUAUGCAUGUGAGAAAUAAAUCAAAUUUGGUUGUACUCGAUACACGAUAAACAUAUAUAAUUGCUCUAUUUCCAAGUUAUUUAGUAUCCUUGGUUAGGUUAACUGGCUUUUCCAUGCGUCUCGAGCUAAUCUAUUGGAUCAACAAUUUUCUAUUUUUCAUUAACGUAUUCUACUAAUAGUAUGGCAAAUCCCAGUUUACAUGAUCAAGAUCUUCCUUGUAUAUGUUGCAGGGAAACAAUGGGAGGCACUGCGGUUUACCAUCGAGGUUUGCUCAUGCAUGAUCCUUUCUCUAAUAGCGCAUUAUUGUGCAGUUGCAGGAAUCAUUCUAAUAUUUAGGUUUCUUACAAUUUGGCCUUGCACAUGUAGGUCCUUCUAUCAGAGGCUUAGACCCACUGUUCAACCAAUUUUGCAAAUGGGGAAAUGAGAUGUCCAUGAAUAUCAGUCAAGUCAAGAAACUCAGAAAGAUUGUUAGGAUAAAGAAACUUGCGAUGAAUAACACUAAGAUCUUUUUUUGCACAAGGAAGAAGACAUCAGUCAACUAUAGGAUGGUACUAACUCUUUUACCUUGUUUUUCCCCUUGCGCCAUUUCAAAAUUUAUAACAAUGAUUAAUGAAUAUCUUUGCUUUCAGUACUUUCCAAAAUAGUUCACUGAUGACUGCCUCUCAAACCACCUGCAUGAUCAAGAGGCAAGGAAGGUAUUCAUUCAACACCCACGGUACAAUAUUGAAGUCUUCCUCAAGAGGACGAAGAUUGGGCGGGAAAUUAUCCAUAGCCACUGGCCUAAAGUUGCAAGGACAUUCAACAUCACUGAAGGCUCAAUAUUUGACUUCCGCUUCUGAAGUUUCCUAGAUGAGAUUCAUUUGUCUAUUUACCGUGUAUGAUGCUACUUUCCAAAUGUUUUCGAUCUUGCAUGUGAAACUUGGUGCUGCUGUGUAAUGGCGUAGCUAGCUAUAUCCCUAUAUGGUGUAAUUGAGUGCUGAAGCUAUCUGAUGUAAUUCGAUUAUGAAAUCCUGGUCGCCAUUAUACGUAUAUGAAAUAUAUGGUGUGUUUUAUAAGAAAUGUCACUUUGAUUACUACAUGGAUUAUCAAUAAUAGGCCAAUUAGCCUGCUUAUUAGGGUUUUAUAUUGCAUAUGGUUUCUUAGACAACACCGUGGGAGAUGAACUCAAACAACCCACAAGGUUUCUAGAAAGUAGGCGUGUUGGAUCAAUGAAGAAUCACACACGACUUUGGCCAGUGAACUGUUUGCGUUAGGCCACCUUGCACAAACAUUUCCACAUAAAAAAUAAUUUGUGAUAUACAUACAAACGGAAAAGUUUUUCUGGAUUCACUAUGUGGGAUGUACAUACGAACAGAAACAAUUGGUCUUCGAUGCCUCCCCCAAUCACGCACCAGCUCAUUUUGCGCAGCAUGUGUGACUGGAGGGCCUAUCCCCGAUAGUUUCUGGGCGUGUGGGAAGGACCCCCCUAUUGCACACACUAACGAGGCGACGGUUUAAAACUCCAUUGAGGAAAGGGGGUAAAAUCCGUUUGUAUAGGACGUCCCUGCACUAGUGCUUGCUACACCAUGAGAAUGAUAUUCACUCACAUGGAAGAAAUGAAAUAGAUAAAAUAUUCUUUGAACAUCAACCUCUCCUUAAACACAUUUUGCCUAUUGAAACUCUAGGAGGUCCUCCUCCACCUAAGGUUGAUCCCGUGUUUGAAUUAAAACAAUUGCCAGACACUUUGAAAUAUGCUUAUCUUGAUGAGAAAAAGAUAUAUCCUUAUAUAAUUAGUGCUAAUAUUUCAGAACAUGAAGAAGAGAGAUUAUUAAAAAUUCCGAAGAAGCAACAUGCUGCUAUUGGAUAUACUCUUGAUGAUCUUAAGGGCAUUAGUCCCACUCUCUGUCAGCACAAGAUUAAUAUGGAACCUGAUGCUAAACCCGUUGUUCAUCACCAACGAUGACUGAAUCCUAAGAUGAAAGAAGUGGUAAGAACUGAAAUACUAAAACUUCUCAAAGCAGGUAUAAUAUAUCCCAUAGCUGAUAGUAGAUGGGUGAGUCAUGUUCAUUGUGUUCCUAAAAAGGGAGGUAUUACUAUUAUUCCUAAUGAUAAAAAUGAACUUGUCCAACAAAGAAUUGUUACUGGCUAUAAAAUGGUAAUUGAUUUUUAGAAAAUUGAAUAAAGCUACUAGGAAAGAUCAUUACUCUAUGACCUUCAUUGAUCAAAUGCUAGAAAUAUUAUCUAAGCACACACACUUUUGUUUUCUAGAUGGAUAUUCUAGUUUUUCUCAAAUACCUGAUUCACAACCUGAUCAAGAGAAAACAACUUAUACUUGUCCUUUUGGAACUUAUGCUUAUAGAUGUAUGCCUUUUGGUUUAUGCAAUGCACCUGCUACCUUUCAAAGAUGUAUGACUGCUAUAUUCUCUGAUUUUUGUGAAAAGAUUGUUGAGGUUUUCAUGGAUGAUUUUUCCGUUUGUGGAGCUUCUUUUGAUGAUUGCUAAAGAAACCUUGAUCGAGUUUUCCAGAGAUGUGAGAAAACUAAUCUUGUCUUGAGUUGGGAGAAGUGUCACUUUAUGGUUAAUGAAGGUAUUGUCUUGGGGCAUAAAAUUUCUGACUGAAGUAUUGAGGUGGAUAAAGCUAAAGUUGAUGCAAUUGAGAAAAUGCCAUGUCCUAAAGAUAUUAUAGGUAUUCAUAGUUUCCUUGGUCAUGCUGGUUUCUAUAGGAGUUUAUUAAAGACUUCACUAAAAUUUCUAGGCUACUUACUAAUCUUUUACAAAAGGAUGUUCCAUUUGUUUUUUAUGAUGAUUGUGUAUAAGCCUUUGAAACACUUAAGAAAGCCAUAACUUCACCUAUCAUUCAACCACCUAAUUGGGAUUUGCCUUUUGAAAUUAUGUGUGAUGCUAGUGCUUAUGCUGUUGGUGCUAUUCUAGGACAAAGAGUUGAUAAGAAAUUAAAUGUUAUCCAUUAUGCUAGCAAAACUCUAGACAGUGCACAAACAAAUUAUGCUACUACUGAAAAAGAUUUCUAGCAGUUGUGUUUGCUUGUGGUAAAUUCAGAUUUUACAUUGUUGAUUCCAAAGUAAUUAUUCACACUGAUAAUGUUGCUAUAAAAUAUCUUAUGAAAAAGAAAGAUGAUAAUCCUAGACUUAUUAGGUGGGUUCUCUUGCUACAAGAAUUUGACUUACAUAUCACUGAUAUAAAAGGAGUUGAGCACCCCAUAGCUGAUAACUUGUCUAGGAUAGAAGAUAUUCUUGAUGACGCACUACCUAUCGGCGGUAGUUUCCCUGAUGAACAACUAGCUGUAAUAAAUGCUUCUCAUAACACUCCUUGGUAUGCCGACUAUGCUAAUUAUAUUGUUGCUAAAUUUAUACCACCUAGUUUCACAUACCAACCAAUUUUGAGGAUAUCGCUUAUCGUUAGCGUCUCGUUCAGCUGGGGAUUAGAGAUUAAUCGGAAAUCGGCCGAUUAAUCGAUUUUAUCGGUCGGCUAUUAAUCGACCAUUUUUUGCAAAUCUCAGGUUCCAACACUAAAAUAUGCUAUAUUGAACAUCAAAACAAUAUUGGAUAGAAGUGUUACCUUGAUUCCUAGCCUUUGAAUCCUCAUAUAAUGACAAAAAAUAGGACAACAGUACAUAUAGCGUAACAAGGUCCACAAAAUGCAAAUAAACAUAGUUUUUGCAAACAUAGUGCUAUGAAUAGGCCGAUUUAUCGGUAGAUUCCCGAUAAAUCGCUUCACAUAGCGAUAAAUCAGCCCAAAUGAUAAACGGUGAAGAUAAGGCAUAAUCUUAUCAGUCACCCCAAGAGUACUGAUAAAUCGGACGAUAAAUCGCUGAAUCGGAAGAUUUCUUGAACAGUGAUACCAACAAAAGAAAAAUAGUACUUCUAUGACUUAAGAAAUUAGUUUGGGUUGACCCACAUCUUUGUAAAGAAGGAGUAGAUGGUAUUAUUACACGUUGUGUACCUGAGCAUGAAAAGGAACAAAUCCUACGGAAGUGUCACUCCGAAUCCUAUGGAGGGCAUCAUGCGGGAGAAAGAACUGCGCACAAGGUAUUACAAUCUGGUUUUUAUUGGCUACUCUUUUUGAGGAUGCCCGUAAGUUUGUCUUAUCAUGUGACGAAUGUCAAAGAAUAGGUAAUAUCGGUAAGCAUUAGGAAAUGCCUAUGAAUUAUUCACUUGUUGAACCAUUUGAUGUUUGGGGUUUUGAUUAUAUGGGACCUUUUCCUCCCUCAUGGGUAUACACAUAUUUUGGUUGCUGUUGAUUAUGUUACCAAGUGGGUAGAAGCUAUUCCAACUACUAGUGUUGAUCAUAACACAUCCAUUAAAAUGCUUAAAGAAGUUAAUUUUCCCAAGGAUUGGAGUCCCUAGAUAUUUAAUGACUGAUGGUGGUUCACACUUUAUUCAUGGUGCUUUCCGUAAAAUGCUUGCUAAAUAUGAUGUUAACCAUAGAAUUGCAUCACCCUAUCAUCCUCAAUCUAGUGGCCAAGUUGAACUUAGUAAUAAGAAAUAAAAUUAAUGCUACAAAGAACUAUCAAUAGGUCUUGAAAGAAUUGGUCUAAUAAAUUGGAUGAUGCACCUUGGGCUUAUAGAACAGCUUAUAAAAAUCCUAUGGGCAUGUCUCCUUACAAAAUGGUUUAUGGAAAAGCUUGUCAUUUGCCUCUAGAGUUAGAACAUGAAAAUGCCAAACUAUUCAAAGAAAAAUUUAAAAGAUGGCAUGGCAAAAGAAUCCAAAAGCAAGAAUUGAAGGUUGGUGAACAUGUUAUAUUGUACAACUCUCAUUUUAGAUUUUCUGUAGGAAAACUUCUUUCCAAAUGGGAACGACCUUAUAUUAUCGAGGAAGUUUAUCACUCUGGAGCUAUCAAGAUCAAUAAUGCGCAAGGUACUAACCCGAAGGUGGUAAAUGGACAAAGAAUUAAGCAAUCUAUCUCAGGUACGCCUAUUAAUGUUGAAACCAAUAUUAUUCAAACCAAGACACUGGAGGAACACAUAAAAGAAACCUUCCAGAACACUCCAGAACCCUGAAAAGGAAGAGGUACGUGAUACGGUAAGUAAAUGGACUCCAAAAAUCCACAAAAAUAUUUUUUGUCAGUUUUGGAAUAUUAUAAAAUCAGGAAACUAAGAAACAACCGAGAAGGCCACCCUGGUGCCCACAAGAUAGCAGGGCGCUCCUGCUCCCUCACCCCAGGCACACCCUAGUGGGUGGUGGGCCCCUCGGGCACCUUCCUGACUCUGUUUUUCUUCCAUAUGCUUUUUGCCAAGAUAAAAAAUUUGUAUAUAUACCCUAAGGAAGAUUUGACCACUGUAUCACGGAGAAACCCUUUGUUCUUGUUUUGGGAUGUUUUUCUGACACAUCUAAAAAUAUGUCGUCUCAAGAUUCGCAUGGAGAGAGCUAUGUCGCAGACUAUAUCGCAAACCCAAAGGUUUAUGGGGAUGUGGAGUGUUACGAUUGGACCAUGUAGAAAGAAGAAGAUUAUGACUUGAAGGGAAUGGAAGAGACAAGCUCAGAUGAAGAAAAAGUCCCACUACCUCAACCUGGGGACAUGCAUGUGGAAUUCAAGAAGUCAAGUCACCCUAAUAAAGAAAAGAAACCUAAGAUCCAGUUUGUCCCUUUUCAUCUUUUGCAGGAAAACAAGCAGGCAUUAUGUGAAAAGAUAUUAAAGCUCAAGCAGGAUAUCGAUGGCUUAAGGGAGGAAAAUUUCAUCCUCAAGCGUAAGCUGAGGAAGAAGAACGCUACUACCUCAUCACCAUCACCACCACACCAUCAUCUUCCCCACAAAAGAAGGAGACUUGAGUACAUGAGUAUGGGCAAUCCUGGCGCGGGAAUCCACGGCCACCUAUGGGACCAGGAGGCCCCUUGCUGGUUCGGCAGGGGGGGAGUCGCAUUGCACAAAGAGCAGACGAGCGUGAGGCAGCACGACAAAGAUCACACGGGCAGUUUUACCCAGGUUCGGGCCGCCGCGAGGCGUAAAACCCUACUCCUGCUUUUGGUGGAUUGAUGGUGGAAAUGUGAUAGUGGAGCGUAGUACACUUGCCCGAGAAGGGUUGCCUCAGGGCGGCAGCGACUACGCGCGUAUGGAGGUGUGAGUUAUCCAACCUUCUAACCUCGUUUAAGGUUUCCAUGGGCUUCCUUUUAUAGGUUAAGGGGUCAUCACAAUGGCAAAGUAGUCAUUAUGCAUUGAUAUGAUAACAAACAGUGCUAUCAUACCUAACUUUGUGGGAUGACAGUGUGCAUUUAAUGCGCCGCUCAACGUCACAUCGUUGGUUGCCCGGCAAGGCUUGCCGGGCUAUCUUGCGAGCUCAACGCCUGCUUGUUUGACAUGUCGCAGGAUGGCUGUCAUCUGUGGGUUUUUCCUGUAGGGAGAGGCUGCCAUGUGGCGAAUGGCUGCCACUAAUCACCCACCGGCUUGACACUGCACUGAUCGAUGACGUGAGUCGCGGUGGAAUGGCUGGUGAGGUGAUUUAGCCUCCGCAAGUCCCGGCAGGCCCAAGCGGGAUGCCUUGGUUCUCUUCUUCUAGGGGUGGCCUCGUCCCUUGCGAGGCUCGCCUGCCCGGCAAAGGAGGCCUUUCUCUUGAUGAUAUCUUGCUUCUCUGGCUUGGUCUAGGUCCCUCUGAUCUGCUUGUUUGUCCUUCGAAUCUCUUGGUUUCUUGUAGUCUGUCUUGGGUUGGUGCUUCAAUCUUGAUCCCGUGCCUGUGCACAGUUAGGGCAACAGACCCAGGGUUGUUGCACCGACAGAAGCCCCCGGGCCUGCCCCGAGCCUGCUAUUGUGCGUCAUCGGGGUAGGGCCUAAUGAGUGCACAAGCAGAGUUGCAGAAGAGGCUGGUCUCUUGAGAUCUUCUUUGCUUCUUCAUUAGUCUUGAUCUCGGGCCAGUUUCCUGUUUUCCCAUGCGUCGUGUGCAACGUUAUGGGAAAAGCUCGGAUCGUGGCCUGCAUGGCACUCUCAUCCCAUGAUCAUGGGGUGGAAACGGCCAUCCCACUUGCUUUCGUGCUUCGGCAUCGUCUGCCACGUGUCCUCCAUGCCUUAGGAAGGGUAGGUGGUGGAUGCGGAGGGCACGGGCAUUAGUGCCAUGGCAGGAAAUUAGGCGUCGCUAGUUGGAGCAGCGGGUCGGCCCUAAUUCCCUGCGUCUUUGGAUGGGAGGGGAGGCCGUAUUGGAUGAGUGGGGUGGCCGUCCUUGGGAUGAGAGGCCAGCCCCGGCCCCUCUUUUCUAUAAAAGGGGGGCAAGAAUGGUGGCUUUCCAUACGCACCUUUUUCUCCUUCUUUCUUCAUAGUCUUCCUUCGCUCGCCAUGGAUGAGGGGGCGAGGGCGCGCUGGUACUCUAGUGGCGGCAAUGAGGGAUUCUGCUCGACAGCGCGCUCCCCUUCCUCUUGACCCCGCCAGGAAAUGGAGCUUGAUCCGCCGCACACUCUGAGUUUGCAUAUGAGGGGCUGUGGGAACGGCGGCAUGUGGGUUGACGUCGACUUCCCUGCUCCUCAUGUUGUGUACCUCCGCUGUGGUUGGAAAACCUUUGCCCGUGCCCAUAGCUUGUCGGAGGGGCACGUUCUCCAGUUCAAAUUAAUGGAGAGCGGCCUGCUUUCCGUCAAGAUCUUCGGGCACUCGGGAAUUCGCUUAGGGUGCUGCGCGGAGAGCUCCACCGACAACAAAAGCUCCUCCUUGAGCAACAACAACGAGGAGGAUCGUGACGGUGAUGACAACACCGAUGAUGACAACUCUGACUCCAGCUGACCCUCCCCGCACCACCUCCAUCACAUGGCAGCAACAUCAUCUACCCCUGCGUUUUCUCCUGGCAAGGUGGUUGCCGGGAAGUUGGAUGCAGAGGUGGUGAUGGUGCCCCUAGCUCCUUCCAGCUGGACCCCGGCAGGCUUCCUCUCGGGCUGCAGCUCCAUUAAUCCCGCCUUGUCCUGCUGGCCCUGGUGGUGGUGGUUGGUGGGUUGCCUUCGCCAUAUUCUUCAUAUUUGCCUUCGUCGGCAUCUCCUUGUCCCGCCGGGCUACCUCUACUGGGCCCUGAUAUGGUUGGCCUGGGCUCCCGCCCAGGCGCUCCUUUUGCCCUUUUUGCCUUCACUAUCGUGCCUGGGAGGAGAGGGACAAGAAAGGAGAUUACGGGGCACUUAUCUUUUUUUAAUCUUAAACUUGUAGGCACUUGCCAAAUUUUAAUCCAAAUAAUGUAAUCUCUCAAGUCCUUGUUUGUGUUCUGUAAUGCUAGUACUUGUAUCAGCAUGUUAGUGAAAAAGAUAAACCUUGCCGGGAGCCCGUGCAUGUAUAUGUCCAUGUAGAGGAGAGAUGCCCCUUUAAUGUAAAUAAAUGAGUUUUUCCCGGCAGGCUAUCUUGCCUAUACCCUUUUUGUCUGCUGGAGAGCCACAUCUGUCGGGUUACAGACAAAGGGACCAGCCCCCCACCAACUUCGUUUUACCAAAGGCCACUAUGACCAUUCUGACUGAAGCAACGUUCAGGUCAGGGAUGGGAGCACCUAAGUUUAAAAAGAGCGGCAAGGUUUUCUAAUGCAUAAGUUAUAGCUUACAGAACACGAAUGGGCAAGAGGUAGAACGUAUCUGUUUGGCUUGCCGGGGAUCAUAGUGCCGACCAAUCUGCUCAACUCCUUGUCGAAGCCAAGUUCACGGCGAGAACCUGCAGCUUCAUGCAGAUCAGAAUGAAUGCAGGAUGCGAUCCUAUCUAUAUGCAUAUGCAAAUUCUCUUGAAAUGCUUAUGCAAUGAUCUUGGAAUGCUUGUGCAUGCAUGCAGUCUUGGUCGGGGCCCCCCACAGCGCUUCUUUAUCUUCGGUGAUCGCCCCGGCUUUGUACAAGGGGUUACAUGCAGCUGAGACAAGGCUUGUACAAAAGGGUGGCUGCCGGGGAGGGCCCGACAGCCGCGCCUUACGGGUAGAACUGGCGGAGAUGCUCAAUAUUCCAUGAGUUUUGCAACUGAGUGCCAUCUCCGGUCUCUAGACAGACUGCAUCAGGUCUGGUGACUCGUACUACCCAGUAAGGGCCUUCCCACUUUGGUGACAACUUGUUUGUACCCUUGGCAGACUGAACGCGCCUAAGGACAAGGUCACCUUCCUCAAAACACCGGGCAUGAACCCUGCGGCUAUGAUAGCGAUGCAGUGCUUGCUAAUAGCAUGCAGCACACGUAGCAGCCCGGAGACGGUUCUCCUCGAGUAUCACAGCGUCGACACGCUGGUGCUGAUCUUGCACUACUUCAUCAUAGGCAAGCACUCGAGGCGACUCGUAAAUGAUUUCCGUGGGGUUAACUGCUUCUGCCCCGUAGACCAAGGAGAAGGGAGUCUGCCCGGUAGCUUGGUUAGGUGUCGUUCUGAGGGACCAGAGAACUACCUGCAGCUCCUCGAUCCAUCGCCUGUCGUGCUUCUGCAAUGUAUCAUAGUUUCUUGUCUUGAGUCCAUGUGGCACUUCAGUGUUCGCCCUCUCAGCUUGUCCAUUGCUUUGCCACAUAGGUGAAUGAGAUCUUGCAUCCAAGGGCAUGGACAUAUUGCAUGAAGGUGCAGCUCGUGAACUGGGUGCCAUUGUCGGUGAUGAUCCUUGCGGGAACUCCAAAAUGACACACCAGAUCUUUCAAGAACUUGAUAGCUGACUAAGUAGUCACCUUUCUCACGACAGUCACUUCCGGCCACUUUGUAAACUUGUCAAUAGCAACGAACAAGAAUUCAAAGCCCCUGAUUGCUAAGAGGAAGGGGCCAAGGAUAUCAAGCCCCUAGACUGAAAAUGGCCAUGAUAAAGGGAUUGUCUGAAGAGCUUGGGCAGGCAGGUUGGUUUUCUUGGAAUGGAACUGGCAGGCUUCACACUUGGUAACUAGCUCAACCGCAUUUUUGAGGGUUUUGGGCCAAUAGAAUCCUUGCCGGAAUGCUUUCCCAACUAAUGCCCUUGAUCGAAUGUGGGAGCCGCUCAUGCCUUUGUGUAUCUCAGCCACGGGUUCCUUUCCUUCUUCCAGGCAGACGCACUUCAAUUUCACACCGUUCGGCCUCCUUCUGUACAGAGUGUCAUCAACCAACUGAUACAUACUGGCCCUCUGGGCUACUUUUUCAUCUUCGCCUUGGUCGCCGGGAAGCUCUCCGGUUUGGAGGAAGCAGACAAUGUGCCUUGCCCAAUUUGGAGCCUGGGGGGCUCGGCAACUAGGACUAAUGGCACCUCCUCUGCUGUAGGAGCACAUGCCUCGUGCGCGGCAUCCAUGGGCCCGACUGUAGGGGGUGGUCCGGUAGGCUGCGAGGAGUUGCUUCCGGAAGGGUCUCUGCCAGGAGCGGACGAUUCUACCGGGAGAGGCUUACCGGUGUCCAACUUUCUCCUUUUCCAGGCCAUUGUUGCUAGGGAUACGGAGGGCUGAGUGAGAUGGAGAACAAAAGUUCCUGGUUCCAUAGGAAGCUUCUGCGCAGUGCACUUUGACAGAUGAUCAGUUAUACUAUUUCCACACGGGGUAUGUGCUUUGUUUGCAAUCCGUCAAAGUGCUCCUCUAAUAUCCUCACUUCCUUCACGUAUGCCUCCAUCAAUGGACUUUGGUAAUCCUUGUUGACUUGUCUCACCACCAGCUAUGAAUCUCCUCGAAUGACCACCUUCUUAAUUCCCAAUUCAGCUGCAAUCCUGAGCCCGGCAAGGAGCCCUUCAUACUCUGUUGUAUGGUUGGUUGCUUCUUCCCGGGAAAAAUGCAUUUGGACGACGUACUUCAAGUGCUCCCUGGAGGGGGCGACAAGAAGCACACCAGCCCCUGCACCUUGUAGGAAAAAAGCACCAUCAAAAUACAUAAUCCAUUCUUGGGGCGAUUCCUUGUCGGGGAUAACUGUCUCUCUCAGUUCCUCAUCAGGGGUUGGCGUCCAUUCUGCAAUAAACUCUGCCAACGCCCUGCUCCGGAUAGUUGAUGUGCUUUCAAACUUCAAACGAAAGCUGGAUAGCUCCAAAUCCCACUCCACUAUUCUGCUGGUAGCGUCAGGGUUUCGGAGUAUCCUUUGCAAUAGGAAGCGUGUCACAACCGUAAUCUCAUGGGCUUGGAAGUAGUGGUGCAGUUUCCUUGAGGCCAUGAUGAGGCCAAAGAUCAAUGUUUGCAUGCCAGAAUACCUCGAUUGAGCCCCCUGUAACAGGGAGCUGACAAUGUACACUGGGUGUUGCACCACUUUAUUCCUUGCCGUGUCCUUGGGGUUGUCAACGUUGUCGUGCUCACUUUUGCCUUGAUCUCCACUUAACUCUGCCGGGCCCUGCCCUUCCUCUGUCGUGUCCACUUCCCAUUGUGCCACCAAGGCCACACUAACCACUUGGUUGGUUGCUGCUAAGUACUGCAACAACGGCUCCUGUGGUUUGAGGCGACCAGGGUAGGUACAUAAGAUAAAUAUGCCUUCAACUCUUGCAGGGCUGCAUCUGCUCCCGGGGUCCACUUCAUGGGCCCUGCCUUCUUCAAGAUUUUGAAGAAUGGCAGGGUGCACUCGGGAGAGCUAGAAAUGAAUCUGCUUAGCGCGGCAACACAUCCUGUUAGGCGCCUCACAUCUUUAACUGUCCUUGGCGCUUGGAUCUACUGAAUGGCCUUGAUCUUGUCGGGAUUAGCUUCGAUCCCUCCUGUGGGACACAAAGAACGCAAGCAGCUUGCCAGAGGGAACGCCAAAUACACACUUCUCUGGAUUAAGCUUUAAUUUGAUCUUGCGUAGAUUUGCAAAUGUCUCCUCCAAAUCCUGGAUAAGAGUUGCUCUGUCCUUGGUUUUUACCACAAUCUCAUCCAUAUAAGCUUCAACGUUUUUGUGUGGUUGAGGUUCAAAACCAAUCUGGACUGCCCUCGCAAAAGUAGACCCGACACUCUUUAAUCCAAAUGGCAUGCGGACAAAGCAGUACUUACCACAUGGAGUGAUGAACGACGUCUUCUCCUCGUAUUAUUUGGACAUGAAGAUUUGGUGAUAUCCAUAAUAUGCAUCUAGAAAUGAGAGCAAAUCAUAGCCUGAAGUGGAAUCCACAAUCUGAUCAAUAUGCGGCAAGGGAAAUGGGCAAGCUUUGUUGAGAUCUGUGAAAUCUAUGCAAAUCCCCCACUUCUCAUUAGCCUUCCGGAUACAACCGGGUUUGCUAGCCAAGUGGGAUGUAGCUCUCCUCUGACCAAAGCAACUGCUUCAAGUUUCUUGACCUUUUCUGCAGUCAACUGCUACCUCUCCAAGGCCUGUUUCCGGACUUUCUGUGUGACAGGUCGAGCAUGUGGGCAGACAUCAAGGUGGUGCUCGAUUAGCUCCCUGGGAACACCAGGGGUAUCAGAUGGUUGCCAGGAAAACACAUCGAUAUUCGCCUGCAGGAAGGUAACAAGUGCGCUUUCCUAUUUGUCAUCGAGGCUGGUGUUGAUAGUGUACCAUCAAUGCUAGCCAGCUCUACCGAGACCUUCUUCACUUGGGGUGCAUCGAACUUUGAUCUCUUGUUGUUGGAACACUCCGGCACGUCAUGAACAGGUGCCAUGCACUCGGUGGGGGCACGCUUGCCGAAUUAUUUGCGGGAGGUCCUACAAUCCCUCUUCUUUCCAUUACAUUCCUUGGCGGGAAAUGUUGUUGCCGCUGCCUCUGCUGUGACCGUGUCCUGGUACAUCUUGUCCAGACAAAUGAUUGCAUCCUUCUCAUCUUAUGGGAUGGUGAUAACUCCUAGUGGCCCAGACAUCUUCAGGGUGUUGUAGGCAUAGUGGGAUGCUGCCAUGAAUUUAGCCAGAGCCGGGCGUUUGAUACGUCUCCAACGUAUCUAUAAUUUGUAAUUAUUCCAUGCUGUUUUAUUAUCAAUCUUGGAUUUUUUAUAAUCAUUAUAUAGUCAUUUUAUAUCAUUUUUGGGUACUAACCUAUUCACAUAGUGCCAAGUGCCAGUUGCUGUUUUCUGCAUGUUUUUUACAUCGCAGAAAAUCAAUAUCAGAUGAGGUCCAAAUGCCACGCCAAUUUACGAUGAUUUUUUAUGGGCCAGAAGGAACACAAUGGGCCCUGGUUGCACCUGGGAGGAGUCCCGAGGAGGGGACAACCCACCUGGGCGUGCCAGGAGGCCCAGGCGCGCCUAGGUGGGUUGUGCCCACCCCGGGUGCCCCCUGGACCGACUCUUUGCUCUAUAAAUACCCCAAUAUUCCAGAAACCCUAGGGGAGUCGACGAAAUUUUCAUCCAGCCGUCGCAGAGUCCAUAACCACGAGGUCCAAUCUAGAUACCAUCACGGAGGGGUUCACCACUUCCAUUGGUGCCUCUCCGAUGAUGCGUGAGUAGUUCUUUGUAGACCUUCGGGUCCGUAGCUAGCUAGUAGCUAGAUGGCUUCUCUCUCUCUCUCUCUCUCUCUCUCUCUCUCUCUUGAUUAUCAAUACAAUGAUCUCUUGGAGGUCCAUAUGAUGUAAGUCCUUUUUGCGGUGUGUUUGUUGGGAUCUGAUGAAUUCAAGUUUAUGAUCAGUUAUAUCUUUUUAUAUCCAUGAAAGUUAUUUGAGUUCUUUGAACUCUUAUAUGCGUGAUCUCUUAUAGCCUCGUAUUUCUUCUCCGAUAUUUGGGUUUUGUUUGGCCAACUUGAUCUAUUUAUCUUGCAAUUGGAAGAGGUGCCCGGUAGUGGGUUCGAUCUUACGGUGCUUGAUCCCAGUGACAGAAAGGGAACAGACAGUAUGUAUCAUUGCUACUAAGGAUAAAAAGACGAGAUCCAUAUCUGCCGCAAUAGAUAAACGGAUCUUGUCUACAUCAUGUCAUCGUUCUUAUUGUAUUACUCUGUUUUUCAAUGAACUUAAUACACUAGAUGCAUGCUGGAUAGCGGUCGAUGUGUGGAGUAAUAGUUGUAGAUACAGGCAGAAGUCGGUCUACUAAUCUUGGACAUGAUGCCUAUGUAAUGAUCAUUGCCUGGAUAUCGUCAUGAUUAUUUGAAGUUCUAUCCAUUUCCCAACAGUAAUUUGUUCACCCACUAUUUGCUAUUUUUCUCGAGAGAAGCCACUAGUGAAACCUACGGCCCACGGGUCUUCUUUCUCAUAUAUUUGCCUUGCGAUCUAAUUUUUCCUUGCCUUUAUUUUCAGAUCUAUUAAACCAAAAAAUACAAAAAUACCUUGCUGCAAUUUAUUUUUUCCACGAUCUAUUUAUCCUACCUACAAAUUUACCUCACAUCCUUUGCCUAUCUUGAGGCGCCGUACCGCGAAAGGGAUUGACAACCCCUUUAACACGUAGGGUUGCGAGGUGUUGUUCUUUGUGUGCAGGGGAUGUUUACGUUGUGUUGCUUGAUUCUCCUACUAGUUCGAUAACCUUGGUUUCAUAUCCGAGGGAAAUACCUACCACCGUUGUGCUGCAUCAUCCCUUCCUCUUUGGGGAAAUACCGACGUAGCUUCAAGCGACAUCAAAAGGAAUUUCUGGCGCCGUUUCCGGGGAGGAUCUUCAACAUAACCAGGUUCCUAAUCAAAAAUCUCAUUUCCCUGCAGUUUACAUUAUUUGCCAUUUGCCUCUCGUUUUCCUCUCCCCCACUUCACAAAAAUUUGCCGUUUUAUUCACCCUCUUUUUCGUUCGCCGUUUUCUCGUCAGAUCUCUUCUUUGCAUAUGUGCCAUGUGUCUUCUAUUUGCUUGCAUCUUUGGUUGCUAAAUAUCUCUUGAUAUGGAUCCUCAUCCACUUGCUAAUGUUUUUAAGAGAUCCAAUUAUCAUGAACAAAUUGCUAGUGAUUUGAGUACACUAGAUUAUGUUUAUGAAGUUUUGCUUGAGAUUCGUGAAUCUGAAAAUUGUGAUGAAGAAAUUUAUGAAGUGAUUCAUGUUAGCUCUUUGGAUGAAAAGCAUGAUUGCAAUGAUUUUACUAUAAACUCUAUUAAUGUCAACUAUGCUAAUAAUAUGCAAAACCCCAAGCUUAUUGCAAUGAUCAUGAUUGGGGUGAUUCUUCUUAUGAUCUUGAAAAUUUAUUUAAGCCCCGUGAUGAAUAUGCGAUUGAUAAUAGUGUUUGCAAUAAUAUCGAAAGUGGGUUUGGAAGAGUGUCAACUUUAGAUCCCACUACUUUGUAGAAUGUUCAAUAUUAUGUAACUUUUGAUAAAAGUGGGUUUGGAGAGGUCAUGACUUUAGUUAAUGUUAAUCCAACUAUUUUGGAAUAGUGUCAACUUUGCAUGCAUGUGGAUCGUGUUGGGAAUAUGUUAUGUGAGAGCUAUAUUGUUGAAUUUUCUUAUUAUCCUACAUAUAAUUUUUAUGAGAUAGUAAAAUAUGGUUUUAGAGAUUUUCAUAUUACUAAAUUACCUCUCUUCAUGUUGAGAUUGCUAAUGUUUCUUUCUUCUUCCUUGCACAUGCUAGUUUUUUCUUGCCUUGAUAAUUUGUUUGCUUAUAAAAUGCCUAUGCAUAGGAAGUAUGUUAGACUUACAUUUCCUUGUCACGUUUUUUAUGAUGCUCUCUUUGUGCUUCAAUUCUUCUCUUUUAUGUGAGCAUCAUUGAAAUCUCAAUGCCUAGCUAAAAAGGCUUUAAAGAAAAGUGCUUGUUGGGAGGCAACCCAAUGAAUAAAAUUUAUUUUUGCUUUUUGCUUUCUAUUCUAGAGUGUUAGCACAAUUAUGUUACUGUUAUGAUUGUGUUUUUUGUGUGUUUUAAUUAGUGUUUGUGCCAAGUAAAGCAUUUAGGAUCUUCUGGGUUGUUUGAUCUUGCUGAAAAAGACAGAAACUUUGUGCUCACGAAAAUGAUUAUCAUAAAUCACAGAAAAGAGAUUUUGCCCUGAUUAUUUUUGAAGAAGAUUAAUAUAAAAAUUAUUAUGGUUGUCCUAAUUUAUUAGAAUUUGUGGAUUUACGGAAGUAUUCAAAAGUUCCAGAUUACUACGGACUUUUAUGUUUUGACAGAUUCUGUUUUCUUUGUGUUGUGUGCUUAUUUUGAUGGCUCUAUUGUUUUCUUUGAUGAGGUUUUGCCAUACAAAAGUUGGAAUACAUUAUAUAUAAUACAAAAACAAAAUAAGGACUGGUUUGACACAGAACUUAUAGUAGUGUUUGCUUUCUUUUACUAACGGAUCUCACAAGAGUUUUGUUGAGUUUUGUGUGAUUGAAGUUUUCAAGUUUUGGGUUAUCUUACGAUGGAUGAAAGAAGAAUAGAAGAGCCUAAGCUUGGGGAUGCCCCGGCAUCCCAAGAUAUUAUCCAAGAAUGAGCAACCAACUAAGUUUGGGGAUGCCCCCGAGUGGCAUCCCGUCUUUCUUCUAACAACCAUCGGUAUUUUGCUCGAGACUAUAUUUUUAUUCGUCACAUGAUAUGUGUUUUGCUUGGAGCUUCUUGUAUGAUAUGUGUCUUUUCUUGUUUUAAUUUGUGUUUAAGUCAUCAAUACUUGCUGGACACACCUAUUUGAGAGAGCCAAAAUUAUGUCAUGACUUGUUAGAAUUAUUCUCUAUGCUUCACUUAAAUUUUUAUGAGCAAUGGACUUGCUCUAGUGCUUCACAUAUAUCUUUUUGAGCACGGUGUGCUUAGUAUUUUUGAAGAAAUGCUCCCUUGCUCCACUUAAAUUUAUUUGAGAGUUAGUAAAAUUUUGAAGAAAUUCUCUCUUGCUUCACUUCAAUUAUUUUAAGAGAAAGAAAAUAUGUUAUGCUCAUGAUCUUCACUUAUAUUUGUUUGAGAUUAUGAAAAGCAAUGCAUGAAAAUUAGUCCCAAAGUGAUAGAUAUCCAAGAAGGAUAAAGAAAGAAAAAAAUAUGUCAUGAAGAUCAUUGGACAAAAUAAACUUGAUUCUUAGUAAUAGUUUUGAGACAUGAUGAUGUGAUAUGUGAGUUAUGUUGGUGAAUAAUUGUGCUCAAGUAAGAAUAUUGGUGUUAAGGUUUGUGAUUCUCUAUGCAUGCACAAAAGUCCAUAAUCAUGCAAUCAAAAUGAUAUCCUACUUGUGGUGCAUUAUUCGGUGUUAUUUAUGCUUAAUGUUUGCUUAUGAGAUUAUUCGUUUCUUGGUUGGUCGCUUCUCAAUCUUUUUGCUAGCCUUCAUUUUGCACCAAGUAUGACCUCUACUUGUGCAUCCAAAAUACUUUAAACCAGUUUUGCCACAUGAGUCCACUAUAUCUACCUAUAUGCGG